UUUAGUUUACCAAACACCUAAAACCUUCACAACUUUUUUUCAUGGGUGUUUUUUUUAAGCACCUCACUCCCAAACCACCCUUUAAGCUAUCAUAACUCAAACUCUUUCCGAUGACUAUCUUGAGAAAAAUAACUUUUAGCAGAGUACUAUAACUUUCCCUAACCAAAAAGCAGAACAAUUUAAUUUUGUCAUAAUAUAAAUUUGAAUUUCAGUGGCGCUCUGCUUCCUAACUUCCAAGCCAUUCACUUUGGGUAGGGUUUGGUUUGCAUGGCUACGGAGAUAUUACGAAAAUACACUAUAAAUUACUGACUGUUGUAAACAUUCAUAGUUUAAAUGUGAUUGUGUAAAUUCUAGAUUAGAUUUGAUUCUAGUUAUCAUUUUCUAUUGUAUCUUGUAUUCCUUGGAGAUGAAAGAAUAUCUUCUCUCCCUUUAAUACUAUAAAUAAAGGCACAAUGUUGAAGGUAUAACAACACACACAUUCCCCUACAAUUUUACAAACACAUCUCUCUCUUCUUCUCCUUGCCGCCGGCCAACCUAAACUUGUCAGAUAAAAUAGACCACAACACUGACCCCAAUUUAACAUAUAAUUUAUUUUUCAUUUAAAAGUUUCUUUUGUUUACAUCCAUUAGUUUAAGGGAUUCAAUGCAGAAUUUGAUCGUGAUCAAAUUAGAGAUUUUGCUAAUGAAUUAAUUACUAGAUAUUGAAAACCUAUAUUCCAAAAACUUAAGGCAUACAUUUGAUCUUUUGCCUUUCAAGGUUCCUACACUAAAGGACAUUGUUCAUGUUUUGGACCCUCGUGAAAAAAAGCUUAGAUGACGUAUUAAUAUUAAACAAUAGACAGUGGAGACUUUUUCCUUGAUUUCUUUAUAUUUAAUUGAUAUGGACUAGUGAAAAUUGUAAGAUGUGUCAAAUUAAAUUAACACGAAUGAUUAAUUCUUUAAUAAUGUGAAGUGAUUUUGUCGAAGAUACGGUAGCAGUGUUCAUACCAUAAUAAACUAGUGGUAGGGCUUCUAACUCGCAUGAUAAAAUAUUCGUUGCCACGUAUUCAAAAGUUUUGAUGCUCUCUCCCAAGUUUUGAAUAGAAAUUUAAAAGAAGAGUUUUUGUCACAAAGUAUCCUUGAAAUUAACCCAAUUCAUUAAGGUGGUUAUUGAAAUUGAAAAUUGAUCAAUAUAGUCUCAGAAAUUGGGUGUCAUAAAUCAAUGUGGUCAUUACGUAGCAAAUCUAUAAAAAAAAUUGUUAUAUACUGAUAUGACACAUAAUUAGAUCCCACAAAUCUAAUUAAAACAUAAUUGGCACCACCUCACUACUCGACCAUCAGCACCAUCACUCAUUGGAACAUAAUCGGCACCAAGGUAUAAAAUAUCGAUGAUAUCGAAAAUAUCGGUAGUACAAAAACACGGAAAUAUCGAUGGAAAUAUCGGGAUAUUAUCGAUAUCGAUAAAAAAUGAAUAAAAACCACGAAAAUUGUAAAAAAAACUUGGAAAUUUUUAUUGAAACUUUGCAGGAUGUUUGUUUAGUCAAUUAUUUAUUAGUUUAUCACAAAAAAAAAAUUGUAAGGAAAUGCAUUGCAUGAUGGAUUUAACUGAUUUAAGUUGAUUAUAUUGCGAGCUAGCAAGCAUUGUGAGUGUAGACAAUAUGUAGUAAUUAAUGAAAGAAGUUUAAACACACCAUAAUCAUUUAUAUAUAAUGAAUUAGUACAAUAUUUUACACUUUAUACAUUGCAUGGUAAGAUACAUGAGUGACUUAGUACUACAUAGAGUUCCUAUGAGGUUCAAAAUUUUCACUAUCUUCAUCAUUUCUAUGUGUAGAGUAAGUGUAUUGUGAAGAGUAGUCAGCAACCAUGGCAAUGGCUUUCAAGAACCAAAACCCAAAAGUCAAUAGGAAACUGAAUACUUUGGUAUUUUUCGGGAUUUCGGGAUUACCAAACAAAUGGGAUUUGGAAACCAUCCCAUAUAAAAAAUUUCUGUAUUUUUCGGGAUGGUUUUGGUUUGGGAUUUUUCGGUUUGGGUUUGGGACUUUUUCGGUUUGGUUUGGGAUUUUCGGGAAUUUUUUCCAGCACUACCAUGUAAGUGACCAAAUAAAAAAUAGAAAAAUUAAAAACCACAUACCAUUGACUAAGUAAUUAAUUGACAUAAUUUAAAAUAUAAUACCACAAAAAAUUUGGAAUAUGUGCAAAUUUGUUUCUUGUAAAAAGAAUUCAAACCAAAACCAUAUAUAUAACUAUUUUAGCAUAUCAACACGAAAACAUAAGUGACAUAGUGGUUAAGGCGUUGAAGGAGUGAAAUUGGAGGGGUUCGAAUCCCUCUAUGCUCAAAGUUGAGAUUUUUAAGAAAUUUUCAAAUAUUUUUUGAUUUCAUAUCGCGAUAAUAUCACAAUAUUAUUAAUGAUAAUUAAGGGGAUAAGUCACGAAAUAUCGUUAUCUCAAAAAAACGAUAAUAUCGGCGAUAUUUCGUCGAUAUUUUCGAUAUUUUGGUCUUUGAUCGGCACCACCUCACCACUCAAUCGAACCAAACCAUCUUCUCCAACGUACACCACCUUCUCCCACCAUAUCCUCCGAUCUACCGCCGCACCCGAGGCCUAGAUCGACGACCCCACACCAAUAAUUCUGACGAGUAGCAGAAGAUUUCGGAAAAACCCACCUUCUCCCGAUGGGUUCAUUUUUCUUUUGGUGGGGAGGGCUGCCAUGGCAGCAAGCUUACGCGAAGAAGUCCACGAAAAAAAUAAUAAUAAAAAACUGAAAAUAUGACUUUAACCCCUCAAAUUCAAUUUUUUCGAUACAAAACCGGACAUAAAUUUUUUACUCAAAAAAACCCAGUGACUAGGAUCCACCUAAGUGAAUUCAUUAAUUACAUAUUACUUUACACAUUUUACAUUUUUUAGAUGCCUAAAAUACUCCUAUUGCAUAUUUGAUGUGCACAAUUAAUUCUAUGCAGAUUGUAAGGAGAGAGUUAAUGAUUUUGCAAAAAGAAAAAAUAAGACAUUAAUGUUAAAAAAUUCAUUGCAUAUUAAUAUCAAAUAUGAGAAUUGUUGGAUUAAUUCUAUGUAUCUGACAUUAUGAGUUCAUAUAUAUAUUUUUACAAAAAAAAAAAAAGAAAAAAAAAACCUAAUAUAUGUAAUAAUACAUAAAAGAAAAAGUAAUUUACCUACCAUGUGCAAAAAUGUUAUUUGAUUCAAAAUGUGUAUAUAUAUAUAUGUGCGUGUGUGUGUGUGUGUGUGUGUGUGUAUUUAUAUAAUUAGACCAUAUUCAUUUACCUACCUAGUAUUUGAAAUGUUCAUUUCCAAUUAUGCAAAAUAUUGUAUACCAAAAACAAAAUAUUGCAUAACCUUAGGAAUUGAAUCAUGCUUUUGAUUUUAUCUUUUACCUACAAACAAUCAUAUACAUAUCACUUUAUAUAUUUUUACCAAAAAGGUCCCUAAUAGGCUAAUAUAUGUAAUAAUACAUGAAAAAUAAUUUACUUACCAUGUAUACAAAAAUGUUAUUUGAUUCAAAAUAUAUAAUCUAGGUUUUCUCAAAAAAAAAAAAAAAAUAAAAAAAUAAAUAAAUAAAAUAUAUAUAUAUAUAUAUAUAUAUAAUCUAGGUGUAGUGUGCGUGUGUGUAUAUUUUUUAUAUAAUUGGAACAAAUUAAUUUACCUACCUACAAAUUAAUUUCCAAUAAUUUACCUACAAAAAAUAAUACCCCGUGUGUAAUAUUGUGACAUCCCAUAUCGCCCAGAGGAGUGGAUCCUAUAAGCCUUAUAUGUAUAUUUCCAUCUCUACCUAGCACGAGGCUUUUUGGGAGCUCACUGGCUUCGGGUUCCGUAGGAACUCCGAAGUUAAGCGAGUUCACGCGAGAGCAAUCCCAUGAGUUCCCAGAAAUAAAACUGUGAGGGCAUGGUCGAGGCCCAAAGCGGACAAUAUCAUGCUACGGUGGAGUCGAGCCCAGAAUGUGGUAGGGGCUCGGGCCGGGAUCUGACAAAUAUAAUAUCUUCUUUUCACUAAUACAUGGAGAAUAAUUUACCCAUAACAAGAACAAAUAUAAUUUGAUGUAUUAUAUUGAAAAAUAUUAUGUCAUACCUAUAUUUAUACAACAAUAAAACGUGCCUAAUAUAUGUAACAAUACAUGAAAAAUAAUUUACCUACAAGUUAGAGAAGUGUUAUUUGAUUCAAAAUAUAUAAUACGGAUUUAGUAUAAUUUUUUUUAAUAAUUGGAACAAAUUAAUUUACUUCCCAAUUAGGAAUAAAUUUAGGGAUUUGGAAAAGUGACAUGGGUGUAAAUAAAUUGUAUUAGUAGGUUAAUAGUUUUCCGAUGUGGCUCUAGAUUUUAAAUUUGAGCUUUUAUUGGACGUUUAUAUGUAAAUGAGUUUUUAUCUAGGAAUUAUGAAUUGUAAGGACCAAAAUCUAAAGCACAAAAAAAAAAAAAAUUUUGACAAAAAUAUUUUAUUAUUAUUUAAAUAUUUUUAAUCAGCAUGACAAUAAUUAAUUAGAUUUGUGGGCCUAAUUAUGUGCCACAUUAGUACAUAACAUAAUUUUUGACAGAAUUGUGACGGAAUGACUACAUUGAUUUGCGAUGAUCAUUUUCAAGGACUACAUUAAUCGAUUUUCAAUUUCAGAGACUAUCUUGAUGACGUGGGUCAAUUUCAAUGACCAUUUGUGAUAAAAACCCUUAAAAGAAUGGGUGAUACCUCAAAAACUUUGCACUUUUCCUUUCUUAAAAAGACUAAUGUACAACGCUAUCAAAGAAAGCUUAAGAAAGUUGAGGUUUCAUCAUUAAUUAAUUAAUAUAAAAAGUAUAGUAGUUCAAAUUACUUUAAAUACUUGCAUGGUUUCUCUUUUUUCCGAUGUGAGAUUAAUACUCUCAACAGAAGCAAACUCAUAUUUUUAUUUUGACACGCUACUUUUGAAGGAAAGAAUCGAACACCUCUCUUUAAGUGCAUCAAUAAGCGUUCUUAAUAAUUUAAGGUGCAAAUUCACAUUGAAAACUCCAGUAGUUAAGUAUGUUCUGCAAUUCACAUCUUCGAAUCAAGAAAAAGAAAAUUAUGAGUUCACAAAAAACGAUCGUAAUCAGGAAAAUUCAUUAAGGAGGGGAAAAAAAUAAAAGUGUCUGAUAUUUGCUCACCAAACACAAAUAAUUGACAACCAAAAAAGAAGACAAUUAAUUAGUUUAAUAGGGAAACGACAACGCGGUCUGUGUCACAAGUCAUGAACCUUGUGAUUCAUGAGGGUGAUGAGUUGUGGAAGCGCCCACAGUGCAUGAUGCAACAUGGAUGAUCACCGCAUCUAAAUUCCAUUAUUGCGUUCAUAAUUUCCAUUAAUUAACACAAUACAAAAGAUAAACAAAGACUCAGCUCAACAUUUAAUUCGAUAAUUGGUUGGAGAAAAGGGAAAAUGACAUCUGACUCCUCACAGGCCAACAAAAUGCAAACAUGAUGAUGAUGCUGUUCACAUCGUCUCUCUCUUGAGUUGUAACAAGACGAGAGACAAUAUAUAUGUUGAGUUUUACGUUUUGUCUAGAUCAUCCAAUUGAAUCACAAGGAUGUGCAAAAGCUGAUUCGGAUUGUUAAUGAGACCUGAUUUUGAGCGUUAAUGCAUUGAGCAACGCUCGUUGGGGUACUAUCAAAGAUUCUUUUUCUGCUCUUCUAAGUUUUUCAUUUUGAAGGUUUGUAAGUCAUUUUUUAUAUGAGUCAUUAGAUUCAUUAAGUAUUCAAUUAUAAUAACCAUGUUACACCAAAACACAAUAAUUUUGUAAAGUUAUUAAUAAAAAAAAAUUUCUCACGUGAAACCUUUCGUCUUCUUCCGUUACCGUCACUCUCCUCCGGAGUAGGAUUCUCUCCCCUUUUUUUUUCCCUCUCCUUUCCUCCUCUCCCAUUUGAACGGUCACAGUUAAGUCAUGUCAACAUCUUAUAUUAAUUUUUUAUAGAAAGAAAAAGAUAAAAUAGAGAAUGUGAGAGGAAGGGAUGAAAAGAGAAGGGGAGAGAAUCCUAAUCCCUCUCCUCCACAUCCCAUUCCUCCCUCCAUCUCUCUCAAUCGUUCACUCCUCUUAUCUGCUCCUGAAUUUUUUGUUUUUCGCAUAUGAAAAAGGGAGGAGGACAAAUGGGCUUCAGACCCAAAACACAAAUGGGCUUGACACCCAAUUUGAAUAAAGUCUAAUUUGAGCAGAAAUAAGGGUAAGUAAGAUUUCUCACUUUUAUUUCCUAGGUAAAAUUUGAAAUUAUCUUGGUACAUUAACGUUUCAAAUUGUAUAAAAUGGUCCCAUGGCAGACUAUAAACUACAUAAGAAGUUAUCAUGUCAAAUUGUUAAUCUAAAUAUAUAUAUAUAAAUUAGUCUGUAUUUAUUGUAUCCACAGUCUGACAAGAGAACAUUACUCUUCAAACUGAUAAAACUUAAAGCUCAAAAGAACCAUAUAUCCUACGGAGUUUUAACGGUCUUAAAAAGUAGUAUUGCAUCACCAUUUCAUACUCCUAUAAUUCCCAUAUUCCAUAGACAUCUUAAGAGAGGCACAAAUAAAGAUUUAUAUCAUAGUUUUUAUAAGUUACUACACAAAAAAAAAGAAAAAAAAACAGAAAAAGAAAAAAGAAAUACAGCUGAAAAAAAGGAAGACCCAAAGAUUGUCUUCCACUUGCACUUAUGUUUCUAACUGCUAGCUUUUGGUCGUGGUUCUUCACUCUUCCAUUUCUUGAAGCUUAAUCGAGUUUGUAGGCACUGCCAUGGCCAUGGCCAUAUAUGAACCUUGCCGUUCCUUCUGUAUACACAUGAGUCUCAUUGACCAUCCUGCCAACAACCCAUAAUACUAGCUUCAAUCAGUAGCUGCUUAAUUAAUUAUUAUUAAGAGGAAAAUCAACAUAUUAGGCACCCGACUUACGAUUUCCGAACAGCUUUGCUCAAGGUAGAGGCUGAUGAAAAUGUUUUUCCAUCUAGGUAUCUAUUAUCCCCUGUGAUCCUCUGUUUAAUUCUGAGGUCUAAUUCAUCAGCACUCAGCUCAAUAGGGGUGUCUGAAGCCUGCCAUUUUAAACAAUUACUUAGGGUCCCUAAUGUCACUUAAAAUACAAAAUGGCGUCGCUUAAAGAAGUAAAUAAGAAGAUUGGUUUUAUAGUGAAGGUGCUAGUUUUUGUACCAUGAUCCAUCCCCAUAUAUCGGCAUAAGAAGGAAUAUGAGCUGAAUAAGGCACAACAUCUGCAGACAGAUGAAUUAUAAGAAAAGAGAAGAGAAAAAAUUGAUUUAAAAAGAAAAAAAAAAAAAAAAAAAGGAGAUAGGGAACUCAUUUUCUUAGUCAGUAUAACUUACAUCUGAAGACCUGCCUCAAAGUAUUGUAAAUGCAGGAGAAAACUUCUGUAUGGCUGAAAAUUCCAGCAGGACCUGCCUGCAUAUGAAAAAGAAAAGUGAUUAAUUCUGUGAUUAGGGUUCUGUUUCUGUGGGUGAUAAUUUUUUUGUUUGUUGACAAGACAGUACAUACAGGUGAACACGCUGCCCUUACUAACUAGGAUAUCGCAUGCAUGAGUGUGUUUAAGUUACCUGUGUGACAAAAAUGCCUUCCUUGCUGAGUCUAGGCUUGACAAUUAAUUCAUAGAAGGAUUUGGUGUAGAGUUUAUAACAUGGACCUCCUUCUAUUGGGUCUGCAAGGUCACCAAUGAUCACAUCAUACUGCUCUUCUCUGUGUUCUAGCUCAGCCCUGCAACACCCCCAAUAAUAUUAAUUGUGACACAUAAGCUCUCCGUGUACGACGUUUUUCCUUUAACAGUAGUUAAGUGUUGUAUCGAUAAGGUUAUAAAGCCGGCAUCAUUGAUAUAAAUGUGUAUGCUGAGAAUAAACCUGGCAUCAUUGAUGAUGAGCUCCAAUCUUGGAUCACAGAAUGCUUCACUGUUUACAAUCAAAUAUGACUUGCAGAACCCUACCACCUCCUGCAUUAGUAUUGCAGCUUAUGGUGAAUAAUUUUGUCCUAUCAUAUACAAUAUGUUGUCACUUGUAAGUUGCAAGCCAGACAAAUCCCAAAACAGUAUUUUCGAAAAAUUAAAAUUCUUUUUUGUGCUUCCACAGCCAAUCCUCCUUUUUGUCUUUUUCAAACAACGAGACAAAUGAAAAGCAGCUCAAAACCGGACACAGUGCGACUUAUGGAGGGAGGUUUUAUUUUACCUCAUCAAUGUCACACAUGAGAACCUUCUCCACAGUCCUGUGUCUCAGAAGCUCUCUUGCAGUGGAGCCUUCACCUCCUCCCAUGAUGAAGAUGCUCUUUGGACUGAAGUUGACAUCAAUUAAGAGAGAUAUUAACAUUGUUGCUUUUAACAUCUAGUAUAUAUAAACCUCGGCGAAACGACAUAAAUUUUAUUGAUAUGGAACAGAGAAUUUAGGUACUUGGGAUGAUGAAGAAGUGGCGGGUGCACAAGACAUUCAUGGUAGAUAAAUUCAUCCGUCUCAGCACUUUGAAGCUUUCCAUCAAUCACUAAAGCCUGCAAAUACAGAAGAGAAAAUGGAAUGAGUAAUUUGCUGCAAUUUAAUUUGUUAUCAUCGAUCAUUUUACUUAAUUAAGAGUAGGAUUGAUCAAAACCUUUCCAAAGGGCUUCGUGUCCAGCAAUGCAAUGUCUUGGAAUGGAGUAGCUCCUGUAUGCAAUAUACUGCAAACAAAAAAAUAAUUAAUUAACUAAAGAAAGUUUGGUUAAAUAUAUUAAGGGAGAUUUUGGAUGCGGUCCCUAGUUAUGAAUAAUCUUUGACUAAAACUUUGUUGGUUUUCAAUUUUUGAUCCAAGUCCCUAAAAUUAAUUGAUAAUUUAUUUCUAUGUACGUUACUAUAUUUUUUAAAUUAAAAAUUAAAAUUUAUAGUUGUUUAUAGUAAUGAGAUUUUAAAUAAAAAACAUAAUUUGUGGGAUUAAAAAUAUUAAAAUAUAAAUAUACUAUUGUGUGUGUGUGUGUAAACAUGGGUACAUUCAUAAAAAAUAACCAAAAAAUUAUUGUAUCAAAACAUGGGUACAUUCUUCAAAAUGGGUACAAAUAAAUAAAAAAAUAUGGGUACAAUACAAAUAAAACUUUAAAAAAUAUGGGCACAAAAAGAAAUUAAUAUAUGGGUACAAAUUAAAAUUGAAAGGAAAAUUGGUACAAAUUAAAAAAGGGUUGCAAAUUAAAAAUGGGUACAAACUAAAAAUAAAAAUAUAUGAUAAAAAUUUAGCCAUAAAUAUAAAUAUACUAAUUGUAACAUUUUUAAUAUUAAAUGAAAAUAUUUAGAAAUAAAAAAUAUUUUAUUAUUGAAAUAAUUAAUGAUAUUAUUAAUACAAAGGACCUUGAUAAAAAAUUGAAAAGUAAUAAGGUUUUAAUCAAUAGAGUAGUAAAAAUAAGGAUGAAAACCUAAUUACUCCAUAUAUUAAUCAGGAAACCAAACUUUGUGGUUAGAACACUAACACUAUUCUAACAUUAUUAUGUCUUGUCUAACCUUUUCAUGACCAUGAUAUUUGGAUUGGGGGUAGAAAGAGUGUUUCACUUUUAAGAAUUCUUUCAUUUUUCUAAAGUAGGAGUUUUGACACUAAGAUUGUAAAAUGUCAGAAAAGGUAUUAUCUACAUAAUAAUUUUGUCUAUUGUAGACAUGGUGAAAAAUUCCUAAUGAUUUUGCCUAUAGACAUCUCAUAAAUUUACAAUCAAAAUAAAAAACCACUAAGUCGAGCUUGAUAGCAUGAGAAACGACUAAAUAAAAGAACCAAAAAAAACAUAGGUAGUAAAAAAGGUUAAGCAACAAGAAUUGAAAACAUUUUUGAAAAUUGAGUGAACUUCAGGUAGUAAAAGAUGGUGACAGUUAAUGUACCUAUUAAGAGCAAAGCUCCAUCUCAAAUUUUCUUCAAUUUCUUCCUCAUACCAACAACUCUUCCUGUAUCCAUUCAGCACUGAAUAUCCCUUGCCAUUCACUCCAUUUCCAUUCGCAUUCCCAUUCCCGUUGUUGGUUCCAUUGGAAUCAGGAAUAUCGCCCAUUUUUCUAACUUAGAUAUCCCAAAAAAUACUUCGCAAAACAGGAUGAGUCUCUGUGUGUGUGUGUGUGUGUGUGUGAAUGAGAGAGAUAUAGAGAGAGGGGUAAGUGAUGGAGAAGUCAGGAGGGGUUUCACAAUAUAAGAAGGAAAAAGGUGGCAGCCAAAUCGAAAGGUACCAUGAUUUAGGGUUGGAUUAAAAACCAGAGAAAAGAAGGAAAGGGAAAUCUGUUGAAGUGGUUGUGCCUGAGAACGACACAAAAGCAUGCAGCCCCAACAUAUAUUCAUUGGAAUUCGUAAAGUAAGGGAAAACUGGGACUAUUUUUAGGAUUUGGUUGCGUGGAUUUAAUAUCUUGUUCUUUAUUCGUAAAACAGUAUCAUCAAAUUCUUCAAUAUACGUGAUUGAAAUUGUAGGCCUGCAAGUAGUUCCCUUAGAAAUACGUAAACAUACCGUAUGGGAGUUUUUGUAAUUGGGGGAUGGUUUGGUUUUGGCGUCAACUAAGGGUUUUCACAAUGUUAUUUUCGAAAGCAACUCGCUUCAAAUUAUCUCAGUUUUACGGGAUUCUGCCAUUAACAUGUCAUAUGUUGGUCAUAUUAUUGAAGAAUCUAAAAUCCUAUUGAAAUCGAUCACUGAGGCUUCUUAUACCCACGUUCGCCGUCAAGCCAACGAUACUGCUCAUCUCCUAGCCCACUACAGACUUAGAAAUGCUAGUCCUUUUGUUUGGUUAGAUUCCCCUCUGGGCUUUUUAGCCGAUGUCCUUCUCGAGGGUGUCCUCUCUAUGAUGGACUGAGCAUUUGCUUCUUUUUGUAUGUCUUUCUCUUUCAUCCAUGAAAUGAAAAUCUAUCGUUUUUAUCAACAAUAAAAAAAAAAGAAAGAAAUACGCAAACAUACUGAUGCUGUUAUAUAUGCACGUGUCAUGGUCAUACUAUGUAUGCAUGUUUGGUAAUUUUUAUUUCUUUACCCAGUGAUAUUCAAAACAGUGCAAUCUACAAUCAGAAAACUUGAACUCAUGUGAAACAAGAUGGACGCACUGUUCUAACUAAUUAGUUUUACUCGUAUACUUUUGAUGAUAUUAAUUUUAUUAGUUAAAAAUAGGGUAUUGGAGGAUGGAGAAAAGGGGGAAAAGGAUAAAAGAUGAUGAUGAGGGGGUGACAACAAGCGAAAAUUCUGGUUAUACUCUUUUUCUUCGAGAAUGUGUGCAAAUCUUGGUUGAAGAAGAGAGAGAGGAGCGUGCACUGGAAACCAUCAUAACAUUCUCUUUGCUUCAAAAGAUUUGGAGGGCGUGCUGGCAGGCGCACUCAUCAUAACCCUCAACCAUUUACGCAUCAAUUAUCUCCCCCAAACAGGAAGUGUUAAAGUUCAACCCCAUACCCUCCGUAAAACAUAUACGUAAGAAAUAAAAGAUUAUAGAGUUUUUAUCACAAAUGAUCUUUGAAUUUGAUACACACUAUUACGAUAAUCCCUGAAAUUAAAAAUUGUAGUUCUUAAAAAUAGGUGUCGUAAAUUAAUAUGGUCAUUUUGUCAUAAUUCUGUAAAAAAUUAUAUUAUAUGCUGGUGUGGCACAUAAAUGGAUUCUAUAAAAUUUACGAGUUUUUAUUACAGAUGGUCACUGAAACUGAAAAUCGAUCAAUGUAGUCCUUAAAAAUAGGUGUCAUAAAUCAAUAUGAUAUUUUCAUCACAAUUCUGUCAAAAUUUUAUUAUGUGCUCAUGUGGGUUUAAUAAUUUAAUGAUCAAUUAAAAAAAGUUGUCAAAAUACCUUUUUGCACAAUGGAAUUAUGUCAAUGCAGAGCUUGCCGUUCCCCGCAUCACUAAGACCACCAGGGAAGCACCCAAUAAGCUCUCCAAUAUUAAGGUUAUGAGGAUGUCGAUCGCCAAAAUGUUAUGAUAAUUUCAUAGAAGUAGUCGGCAAUCCAAGCUAUCACUAAAUGUGGUCUCGAUCCUGAUCAAAUUCGGUGAAGAGUGUCGAAGGCCGUUAAGAUGGAUGUCCUAAGGAUUUUUUUUAUUUUUUAUUUUCUUCAGAGAAGAUACUAUUGAGGGCUACCAUAGAUGGAGGUAGAAGAGUGUGGGAUGAGAUCAGAGGUGAUUACGGGCUUGAGUUUUUGGAUUGACAAUUUUUUCAAUUAAUUAUUAAACUAUUGAACCUAUUUCUAAUUUAAUUAGACUUGUGGAUUCCAUUUAUGUACUGCAUCAGCACAUAACAAUUUUUUUUGACAAAAUUGUGACAGAAAGACCACAUUGAUUCGAGACACAUAUUUCUAGAUCUACAUUGAUCGAUUGUCAAUUUCAAGGACCAUCUUCAUAGUGUGAGUCAAUUUUAGGGACCAUUUGUGAUUAAAAAAAAGGACUUAUGGACCCACUUAUGUGCCACAUCAGCACAUAAUAGAAUUUUUGACAAAAUUGUGAGGAAAUAACCACAUUGAUUUGCAACACCUAUUUUUAGGGACUACAUUGUUCAACUUUCAAUUUUAGGGACCAUCUUGAUGGUGUGUGUCAAUUUCAGGGACCAUUUGUAAUAAAAACCUAAAAUUAUAAAUGGAAGAAGUUCUGGCCCUAGCUACCUACCAACUUGCUAUUUAGUUUUUAUUUUGGAUAAUGUUAGGGAGACCUAAUUUUUAAAUCAAAUUUUGUAAACCAAAUGAUAUGGUUGUUGAUGACUGGAUUAUUACGUAAGUGUUGAUUAACGUACUUAUUUCCUAUGAGUAAUGUUAUAGAGACUAAAUUUAUAGACUAAAAUUGCAAACUAAAUGAUGUGUCACCAAUAAGAAAUGAGCAUGUUUAUCAACGUUUAAGUAAUAAUUCAAUCAUCAACUUCCAUGUCAUUUAGUUUAUAAAACUUAGUAUAUAAAUUUAGUCUCCCUAGCAGUACUCAUUUCCUAUUGGUGACAUCAUUUGAUUUGUGAGUUUAAAAUUUUGGCUUACUUAGCAUUACUCUUUACUUUCUGACAUGUUAUUUGAAUAUUAGAAGAUGUCUGUAAUUUAUCUGGAAAUUAUUUGUUAGGUUAUAUUAUUUUAAGAGUUGUUUGUAAGACUAUGGCAAUAUGAGCUAUGACAUGUUUACAGAAGAGAAAAAAAUUGUGCUAAUAGUUUGCCAAAACUACAGUCUUGUUGUAGAAUGAGGAAGUCAUUAUUUUGAUAAUCCCUCUUCUUGUUGCAAAUAGUUUAUUUGAGAUUUCCAAGCUUAGUGAAAAUGGUAUGUCACAUCUACACACAAAAUCACUCUGAUCCAAAUGUCAUAUGCUUUGUUUUGCUAUAGCAUGUCAACAAACUAUAUAUUCAAUCUUAUGCAACAAUUUGUGGGUAUAAUUAACGAGAUUAAAUCUUUUGUACUCAAAAUUCUUUGUGAUCUUUUUGUAACCUAUUUCAUUGUUGACAGUUGACCAUUCAUUUAAAUUUUAUUUUAAUAGUUAAAUAAAUAGGUCACUGAAAGGCCACAAAGAGUUUUAAGUGCAAAAGAUUCGAACUCUUAGUUAAGGGGGUCCAAGAGAGUCCACUAGUGUCGUAAGGUUGGCAAUAGAAUGAUGUGUGAAAGACCAAAUAAAAAGUAACAAAAUAAAAAGAACAAGAUAAAAGCCUAUGUGCCAUAGGAGAGAGGCUCUAUAUUGAGAAGUGGUGGCGUUCUAUUUGAUGCAGGCCAGCUAUGAAUACUAAGGAAAUCAUUCUUGUUACUUGCAGUGUGUUUUGGUUUGGGGGUGACGAUGGAUUCGGCCAAACUCUUGUUUUAGAAAGGUUAUGAUGACCUCAAAGGCCUCAAGCUCCAACUCAGAGGUCCCCGGGAUAAUAUUUUGUUCCCCUAAUCUUUUACUUGCUUCCUUCUCCCUCUUCAAGACCUGUAAAAAUCAUUGCACUGGCCUAAACUUUGUCACCCAACAAAUCAUAUGACAUGAUUUUAUAGAUUUCUUAUUUGCUUGCCUUGCUGCACAUAAAAUGAUGUCUCAUCUUCAUUUCCCAUAAUGAUUCAUGCCAUGACUUUGCUUUGUUAUAUUAUGCGUAUCUUCUUCAUUUCUAGUCAAGUUUGAACUUAAAUGUCGACGAUUGGAUCAGAUUUGCAUCGGAAAGUUAAAACUCAUAUAUAACUUUUGAGUUAAACUAAAAGUUAUAUAUCUGUUUUUUAAGUAAUUAGAGUUAUAUUUAAAAUUUCCAAAAAUUAUUUGAGUGUAAAGGUGAAUGUCAAGCAAAGAGAACAACUUCAUUCCAACCAAAAAAAAAAAAAAAAAACAUUUGAGUCACAUGUAAAAUUUAAAAUGGGGUGUGCUAACCACACACCCCAAAUUACUUCUCACACACCCUUAUUAAUUUCUAUCCGUUGAUCUUCUUCAAUUCAUCCGAUCCGACGGCCGAAAAUUAGAAGGGUGUGUGAGAAGUAAAAUGGGGUGUGUGGAUAUCACACCCCUUUAAAAUUUGUAAUCAAGUGCAUGAGGAGAAAAAUAAGAAAACUCAAACCCAUGUACCACCCCAUUUGAACUCAAAUAUAAAAAAUAUAGUGUAAUGAUUUCAACUCUAGCAUUUGAUCAUUUCAUUAUGGAGAAAAAUAAAACAAGAAAGAUGCACUUUUUGAAAUAUUUAUGAUUUUUUUUUAAUUAAAGAAGAUCUCAGGAAUGGUUCUGUAUGAAUGACUACAUUUUUCUAACAAUUCAGAGUUAAACCAGGUAUUGUUUGGUAAUUUCAAAAAUCUAAUAUUGAUUCGUUUGUUAUUGCUUAAAAUGAGGUUGGGGUUUUUGAAGAACUUGUUCUUUAGGGAAUUGUAAAGUCUGGGAAUUGAUUUAGAAGUAUGCUUCUACUACUCAUCAGAUUCGCAGCUAGAUGAAGAUAGGAGAGAAAUUUGGAAACCAUAAAGCUAGAUGGGUCUCUUUCCUAUGCGAAUCAUAAAUCUACAAAGCCACCUCGUGUUAUUGAUAAAUCUACACAACUUCCUAAUGCAUUCAUAGUUAUAUGUGUCUGUCAUCAUUAGGUUAAUUAAUUAGAAGUAGAAUAUAUACCCUAUAACUCUUCCAAAUGGGAAUGGAAGAGAAGAGCAAGUCAAACCUCGCAGUAAGUAUAUAAACUUAAGAAUUGUCCUUUUAGGAAAACCAAGAAGAGCAAGAUGAAGAAACCUACGCUACCAAAUAUUUUAGGAGAACCAAGAAGAGCAAGAUGAUUUUUUUAUAGUUACUUACUCAAAUUUAUGUAUUUUGCAGUAUUUUAUUGUUAAUUUUAGAUACAUUUGUUAAUUAUUUUUAGGGUAAUUUUAUUUAGACCCAACAAUACUCUUUCUACACCUAGCUAAAAAAAAAACUUUCUCUGUAAUUUCUAUAUUACCCCUUAUACAAAAUAAAAUAAGAAAAUGAAAAUUAAAUAUCUUUCUACACCCAUUCAACUAAGAUAGCACCCACGUGCAUGAUGCAGCGCCACCACUCAACCACCACUUCAGACCUCCCUCUUCCUUCUCCUGCAUGUGGAAGUUAGGCGGGAUUGCUAAAUCAACCAUCGCCUUCAACAACCCGACCCAAUACAAAAUCCAUUUGACUCCAUUUUGGACUUCUGCAACAAGUCGCUUACGGAGUCAAUGAUGCCACUUAGUUUUGCCUCUUAACAGCAAGGCCCUAUCAUGCGCAUGAGAAGAAAAAUAGAAAGAUUCACUGGACAUUUGGUGGAGUAGCCACCGCAAAGAAUUGGUGGGUGUGGGAGAGGUGGGGGGAACACACCGAGAAUAUCAGGAAAAAAUAGUCGGCAUGGAGAUAGACCCAACAAAUACAGGGAGGAGCCAGCCGAAGGCGAGAGAAUAGUCGAGGAAAUGGGUAUGAUUAGUUUUUCUUUUUCCAGUUUAUAUAUGUUUAUAAUUUAUGAGGGUAAACUAAAGAGUUUAGUUAACAAAAUAUUAAAGUUGGGUUUCGAGAGAGGAAAACUUGUCCAAAUAAAAUUUCUCUUAUUUUUAAUAUACCACAAAAUUAAUAGUGUUAUUAGACCCACCACCUCAGUGUCUUAUUUUUCCAUCCACAUGAUAAUCUCACCCACAAUAAAAAAUUAAAAAAGUGAAAUGUUAUUUUUCCACUCACCAUUGUUUCCAAAAUAACCCUAGUAUUUUUUUUUUAAAUAACUUUAAUACAUCUUUGAAUAAUAUUUAUAAAUAAAUAAAUAAAAACAAAAAAAUGAAAGCAAAUGCAAGACCUAAGACCUAGAUUCAUCAUGUAAGACCUAAGACCUGGACAUUCAUCAUCUUCUUCAAACCACACGUGUCCUUCAAAUCAUGGCAUCCAUUUCCUAAUAUCUCUUCCUACUAAUCCCAAAUCUACCAGCCCGAUCUCUCUCCAGAUCCCCACCCUCUAUUUUCACCGAGUUCCAUAACUAUGGCCCAAUAUUCCCGGCAAACCCUAGUACUCACACCUAUCGUCGCCCCACAGAGACUCGUUUCCCCAAACCACUCCUCUUCCUCCUUUUCUAUCAAAGCCGCAGAUCUCACCCUCAAGUCUCUUUUGCCUCCAUUGAAGUUUCUCGCCCUUGUCUUGCACACACCCAUUCCUUACUCCAACCUUUCCGUCAAUUCUAGCCCAAAUCUUUCCCGGCCUCUCUCCACCAAAGAUACCACACCCAACCCAUCGUUAUUUAUUUAUUAUUUAAAUUUUUUUUUCAAAAGUUUAGUAGUUAAUUAAAUAAGAGUUUAAGAAUAUUAACAUUUCAUUAAAUGGUGGGUAGGGAAAUAAGACUUAGGGGUGGGAAUAUCAGCAUUGGAAAUUAAUUGAAUUUAUACAUGAGUUUGUAAUAUAUAUUAUGAAAGAACAAUAAACUUUAUGUACGAAGAAGUUCAAGAAUACUAAAAAAUCUAAAAAAUAUAUAGAAUUUCAUAAUUACGUUCCAAAAUUUUCGAAAUUACUCAAAAUUAAAGUUUGUAAUUUGAAAAUUGUGAUCCAAUCCGAUUCGGUUCCUAAAUUUUAAAAUGAAAAUUAGAAACAUCAUUUUCAAUCCAAUCCUUCAGAAAAUCACCUCUAGACCAGAUUCAUGGACAUUCAUGUUUUCAUUCGUAUUGGUGAUUCUAAGUAAGUAAAUAGAGCUUAAGACAUUGUUUGACCCGAAUAAAACAGAGCCCAAUAGGCCCAGGUUGCAGCUCAAUGCUUCCAACCCUGUAAAACCCCAGGCGGCAUUCUCUAAACCCUCUACUGUAUUCUGAAUCUCAACUUCUCAUCUCCUUGUAAAAUCUGCACUUGUUCUUCUUCUUCUUCUCACCCAGGUAUUCCAUCUUCCUUGAAUUUCUUUGUCUAUUUUUAUUUUACUACUUGGGAUUUAACUAAGCUUAUAAUAUUGAGAAAUUUCUCCUUUUUAAUGGAAAAAUCGCUCUUUUUUUUCUUUUUUUUUUUUCUGAAACCCAUUGCAAUUUUCUCUUACCCUCUUUACUGUCUGCCUAAACUCGCUUAAUUUUUUUUUUAAAUUUUAUUAAUUUCUAGCUUUAAUUUUUUUAAGGAAGUCUAAAACCUUGUUUCAUCUGUUGAUUUUUCUUUUGGGGUUUUGGGGUGUUUGUGUAUGUCUUUGAGGCCGACGUAGUAAAAUGUUGAGUUAAAUUCAGAGGAAUUGGAGUUGUGGGUUUUGAGUAGGGUUUAGAUCAAAUAUACCGGAAGUGAAGGUUAUUGAUUGAUUUUAUCUGGAUUUUUAAAAUUUUAAUCUUUGCAUUGAAGGUUGAUUGGCAAGUAUGUGUCACAGACUUGAGACAAUCGAGAUAAGCCUCGAAUGGAAAUUCCCGUAACAGAUUAAUGUGGGAUAUAUUCUGCAUUUGAGAGUCAUUAGGAAGUGGGUUCCAAUGAUUUGGUUAUUCCACCGUACCUGUUCAUUGUAAUCUUCAUGGAGGAAGGUUUCUGCUGUAAUGGGUUUUCGUGAUUAAAACGAAGAUAAAAGAUGGUCCUUUCGUUACUGAUGUUUUCGUACAAGUGUAAUAGUUGUUGAGGGUGUUGAUUGGAUGGUGAAAACAAACUUAGCUUCUUCUCCGUGAGUUAAUGUUCUUUAUUUGAAUUACUUCCUUUUGGUUAGUGAAGUGUUUUUUUUUUUUUUUUUUUUUAAAUUUACUUCCGUUUGGUUAGUGAACUGUAGGCAUGAGCAAUGAUAUAGAAUAGCCAUUUUGUUGCUGAAACAAAGGUAUUAUGCAAUAAUUUAUGGAACUUUGCAGUUUGGUUGUUAUCACGUUUAAAUUUUAGACAGUGAUUACUUUAGCUACUAUUUGUUUCUUGUUAUCUAUGGCGUUUCCUAAGUUGGUUAUUGUGAAGUUCUAACAGAUGGAGUACGUGAGCCCAGAAGGUCUUCGCUUAGAUGGUCGGCGGCCCAUGGAAGUAUUUUUCCAUCUCUCAAUUUUCCAUUGUGUUGAAUCAUCACCAGUAUAAAGUUUCAAUUAGUUUAUAAAAUAUUUUUUUUCUGUGAUCCCAGAUGAGACAAAUCCGAGGAGAGAUUGGUGUUGUGGAAAAAGCCGAUGGGUUCUAAUUACUAAAACCUUGAUUCUUCUUUUCUAAUCUUUGUAAUUUUUUUUUUAAAGUUGAUCUUUCAUAUCAAAUUUCAGUUCUGCUGUGUUUGAGAUGGGGAACACCAAAGUCAUUGCUGCAGUGUAUGGCCCUCGAGAGGUUAGCUAAUUCUUUUUUCUUCAUUCUAUUAUUUCGAGCUAAAAUUUUAAUGAACUUGUGCGUGGUACUCAUUAUUAUUUAAAAUGUCUUGUCCGAUUUUCAAUUUAAAUAUACUUUUGUUUUCUAGGUCCAAAAUAGGAGCCAGCAGAUGAAUGACAAGGCACUGGUAAUAGUUCAUCUAAUUCUCUGUGUAUUAAAUUUAUCUGUGUUGUGGUGAAUAUGAUAAACGGAACAGGCAUGUAUUAUAUUCGUAAAUGUAAUGUCAUUAGCCAUUGUUAAUAAGUUUAGGUGCGGUGUGAGUACACCAUGGCAAAUUUUAGUACUGGAGAUCGCAUGAGGAAACCAAAGGGUGAUAGGUGAUAUAUUCUAUUCUCUUUCAUUUUCAUACAUACAUGUUGGAUCAUCUUCAAUUUAAAAUUUAACAUAAGAGUGUUGUAUCCAUAACUAAAUUAAACUAUAUAACUAAAAUGUACAUUUUUAUGCUCUCAGACGAUCCACAGAGAUUUCUCUUGUUAUUCGGCAAACCAUGGAAGCAUGCAUUAUGACACAUUUAAUGCCUCGGACUCAGGUUCCACUGAUGCAUCUUGGGAACUUUUCUUCCAUGAAUGUCUAGUUUGUUCUUUAUUGAGCCUUGUAUCCGUUUGUUGCAGUUUGAUAUUUUUGUGCAAGUUCUCCAAGCAGAUGGAGGUAAAUCCCGGUGCCUCAUUGCAGUCAUAGGUCCCAUAUGAUAAUGUACUUUCAGAUUAUGUAAUAAAUCAAUGCUGCCCUGUUUCCCUUCUAUGUGUGUGUGCAUAUUUGGUCCUGUUUCAUUCAAGGUAUUUGUAGAUCCAGGCUUGUUUUCUGAAAAACUGAAGCCUCCUCUAUUCAUUUCAUGUACAGGGUACUAUGAACCACUUUUAUUUGAAUUUAAAGUUGUUAGUUUUUUAACUACUAUUGAGGUAGGUCAUGUUUGAGGGUCAAACUACGCUGCAGGCAGUACGUUAAUAGUUAUUGCUUUUGUUGCAUCUUAUUUUAAUAGAAUAUGUGAUCGAUAGUGUUCACAAAGCACCAUGGUUGUCCCUGUUAUCUGUGUUUCGGUCAUUAUGUUAACUAUUUUGCAAAGACUACUGGAUUUCAACAGGUUACUUCACUGUUUUACUUAAAGAAUAGAAAGAUCUAUCCUCGUGUUUGAUUUUUAUUUUAUUUUAUUUUAUAUUUGGCAGGAACUAGAUCUGCAUGUAUCAAUGCUGCAACCCUGGCCCUUUCAGAUGCUGGAAUUCCAAUGCGCGAUCUUGUUACUUCUUGUAGUGCCGGUUACCUUAAUAGCACACCUCUACUUGGUAAAUUUUUACGUUACUUUAUGCUUGUACAGCUCCUACAAUGCCAUUGUACUAAUAUGAUAUUGUAAUUCUCAUGUGAGCUUAUUGUCGCUGGCUUGUCAGAUUUAAACUAUGUAGAAGAUAGUGCUGGAGGUGCUGAUGUCACUUUAGGUAUUAUGCCGAAGUUGGACAAAGUGACUCUUCUUCAGGUAAUCUGUCGUAUGCGUUUCGCAAUAUAUUCUCACAAGCUUAAGUUACAAUUAUUGUGGUAGUUGGCAUCUACAGUGUCUUCUCUAGCGCGUUUUGUAAACCACUUAUUCGUGGUGAUCUUUGAUGCAGAUGGAUGCUAAAUUACCAUUGGAUAUUUUUGAAAAUGUAAUGCAACUUGCAAUUGAAGGCUGCAAGGCGGUUGCAACAUAUAUUCGAGAAGUAAGCAUCUUUUUGCUUAUUUUCCGCCCCUCCAGUGAUAAGUUCUGCCGUGUCAUGAGGCCUCUGUUUGAAUGACAGGUAUUACUAGAGAAUACAAAGCAAUUGGAGUAUCGACGAGGCACCUAGUUUCAAAUCAUGGUAAGGCCAUGUACAUCGUUUGCUAAUUGUUUUGGAAAUUUGAUACGUUUUAACAGUCACGGACAGUCACCCACUUACUCCGGUUUCAAGGUUUUAUUUUCUAUCCACCUGUAGAUUUGUGGUUGUUCGUAUGGAGUUCGAGGCGGCUGUAACAUGAAGACGGUGUUUGAUGGAGGAACAAGGCUUAAAAUUAAUGGGAACUUUAACGAAAAGCACCUGGUACUGUUCACUUUAACGAAAAACCACAUUUUUACACUAAAAAGUCAAUCCUGUUACUAUUUACUUUACCCUUUAUUUUGUCCUUAUUAUUAAAACUCAAAGUUUUCAAGCUCUUUUCAUUAGUUUUCCUUUAAAAUUAAGCAUACUCAGUUGAAGUAACGAGAGAGCUGUUUUUAGAUUCUGAAAAUUGUAUUUGUAACAUCCACAAUAUGGGCUCUUCUUGUAAAUGAAUAUCCUGACUAAAAGAUUUUAUAUCAAAGAAGAUACAUGUAACCAAGGAAGUCUAUAACUAGGGUGACCCUCAUUCAGAAAAUGUUCUCCUGUUCUCGAAAAAAUACAUGAUCACUCACAAUCAGAUUGGAUAUUAAAGUGGAGAACGAAUAGAUAUGAUUUUUAAUAUUUUAAUUUCAACGAUUUAUUAUGCUACUUGCAUAAAAUAAGCUACCGUUACCACUGUGCUUCCCUAGCUUUUUAUCUUUUCUGGAUCCACUUUGUGGGGAUCUUAGGGAUCCCCACGUCCUAACUGUUCAUCGUACAUUGUGUGGUUAGUUUUUGUCAGAUAUUAUUUGUGUUUAAUUUUAAAUAAAAAAGGUCAAAUGACUUCCGACAUUACGAUACAUGAUGAAUGGCUAAGAUGUGAGGAUCUCUAGAUGGGAUUCAAUCUCACUCUUUACACCAAUAUUAUUUGUAAUUAAAUUGUUAAUAUUUAUUUAAACCCAAAUUUACUACCUAACCACCCUCACAAAUCCAAUUCAAAAAUGUUAAAUUUAUUUUUACACCCAUUUAAAAUAUAAAAGAUCAAAAUCAAAUGAAAAGAGCUGGCAUGCGAAAACAAUGACACAAAGUAAGUAGCUGUUGUUGGUUUGGCUAAUUAGAAUUUAGAUUGCAGAGCAAAGACCAAUAUUAUCAGUAUGAUAUUAUACAGACGCACACAUGAAAAAAAUAAUUAAUCAAUGUUGUCUAUUAUCUAACUAUUAUAAUCUUCAACUCUCAUUAGGUAGUAGCAGUUGGAUAUGUAAUUCAAUAAAAAUGAAGCACAAUGUUACGGUCGUGUUAUGUAAUUAAGAAGUAGAAGACUUGGUAAUGGUGUUCAAAAAGAACAAGAAAGGUUUUUUAGCCAAAAUGAUCCCUAAGAUUUGUAUAACUCAUCACUUUGGUCCCUAAGAUUUAAAAUCAAUAUUAGUGGUCUCUUAGUUUGUCUAUCAUCAAUUAUUUUGGUCAUUCCCUAAAAAAUUAAGGACCAAAUGACAAAAAUACCCUCAAUUUAAUAAACAAUGGGCCGAAAUGAUUUGACAAAAAUUGAUUAUGGACCACUUCUAUUAAUUUCAAAUUUCAAUGAUCACUUCUAUAUGAAAGUGUCUUAGGGUUUUUGCCAGAACAGAACGUGGGAGAAAAAUUAUGUAACGGUUAUUUUUCUUGUAAUUUUAUCAUGUACUUGAUGGUAAUUAUGUAACAGGGUAACAAAGACAUUUCACAUUUAAAGUAAGUUGAGUAUAAAAAGAGGUUAUUUGGGUUCAAAUUAAAUUUUCCGAAAAUUUAAGGGGAAGAGAUGCUACCUCAACCCAGUGCCAGAGCAUACAACAAAUUUCUUUGAGGAUUUAUAGAGGAGGUCUACAAAUUGCUCACCAAAAUGGAUUGUCAACAAGGGGACUUGAACCUAGGUCUUUUUUUAGUGAAGAGAACGUUCUUUAGCAACUCAACCAAUUUUCGUUGGCAAUGAUAUUGAUACUUUUAACCUAAUUAAGAGGAGAAAAAGAUUUGAACUCGAGACGUAAUAAAUUGAAAAUGAAAAUUCCAUCCACUAACAAUUCACCACUUGCUACCCUAUAAAGAUGUUAAUUACUGUAACUAAGUAUGUAAAUGGUGUUUUUUUUUUGGGAUACUUUGGAUACGGUCCCUAACUAUCAAUAUUCUUUGAUUGAAACCUUGUUAGUUUUUAGUUUUUGAUUGAGGUCUCUGACAUUAAUGUAAUAAUGUAAGUUACUAUAUUUUUUAAAUUAAAAAUUAAAAAUUGAAAAUUGUAAUUGUUUAUAUUAAUGAGAUUUUAAAUAAAACCCAUAAUUUAUGGGAUUAAAAAUAAUAAAAUAUAAAUUAUACUCUCUAUUAUAUUGUGUGUGUAUACAUAUAUGUAUGGGUACAUUAACCAAAAUUAACAAAAAAAGUUAUUGUACCAAAACAUGGAUACAUUCUCAAAUCAAUGAAAAAGAAUGUACCCAUAUAAGUUUAAACAUGGAUUAAAAAAUUUGAAUGGAUUUUAUAUUAAAAAAGGGUACAUUUUACAUAUAACAAAUUGAUAUAUAUGAGAAUGGGUACAUUGAUGAUUAAAAAAAUUGAAAAAAUUAUAUGAAUGGGUACAUUUAAGAUUAAAAAAUUGAGAAUCUUUUAUAUAAUUAUAUAUAUAUAUAUAUAUAUAUAUAUAUAUAUAUAUAUAACUAAUAGGUACAAACUUAAUUUAAUUUAAUUUUUUAUUAUUUUGAAAAUGUUUGAAUUGAAAAUUAAUUAGAAGUUUAAUAGAGGUGUGAGUAUUAAACCCUAAAUUAAUUACUAAUUUUUAUAUUAAAAAAUUAUAUAAUAAACAUGUAAAUUCAUUAUCACAUUAAUGCUAGGGACUUGAAUCAAAAUUUGAGAACUAAUAAGGUCUUAGUCAAUGAACAGUAAGAACUAGGGACCGGAUACUAAUUUUUCCUUUUUUUUUUUUUAACGCUUUGGGCAUCUUGUGUCCUCAAGUUGAUUGAUGAGCCGAAAAAAAAAGAAGGAAAAAGAUUAAACUUCUAUUAUUUCAAAAUUUAAAUCCUAAUAAAGUGACCAAACCUAGGAAUCCAACUGCUUAUUGUUUGAUUCCACGGUUAAUUGCAGGACCCCUUUUGUUAGAGGAUAAAUACCCACAAAUUCGAGGUGCUUUUACCAAGUACAAGCAUUUGGACCCUCAGGUAUGGUAUUUUUGGCUUGCUUGAAAAUAUUUUUAGAAAGAUACGCAAUUUGGUCAUAAACACUUAGACGAAAAUGCUUCAUGUCAAAUAUUUAGAAGUUAAAUCUCAAGUACUUUUUUGAAAAAUAUUUAGAAAUGCCUCCUCAAGAACUUAAAAGAGCUUCAUGAAAUAAUAAAAACCUUGCAGAUGAUAACCCUUAACAAUUCUACGUUUUCUUCCAAAAGUUGUCAAAAUGCUUUUGAAUAUUUCAAAUCAUUUUAAAAACAGACCUUAUACAUUGUGGAAAGGAUCAAGAGAUUUUUGUAUUUUGGGAACACCAUAGUUAGUCAUAUUAAUUUGGAUGACCAAUAUUACAUGUAAGACCAAACCUAACCUUGGGCUAAAUACUAUUUUUUAGGUUUUCUUCCAAAAGUUGUUAAAAAUGCUUUUGAAUAUUUCAAAUCAUUUUAAAAAAGACCUUAUACAUUGUGGAAAGGAUCAAGAGAUUUUUGUUUUUUGGGAACACCAUAGUCAUAUUAAUUUGGCUGACCAAUAUUAUGUGAAAGACCAAACCCAAUCCUGGGCUAAAUACUAUUUUUUAGAUUUUAUUCCAAAAGUUGUUAAAAAUGCGUUUGAAUAUUUCAAAUCAUUUUGAAAAAGACCUUUGUGGAAAGGAUCAAGAGAUUUUUGUUUUUUGGGAACACCAUAGUUAAUCAUAUUAAUUUGUUUAACCAAUAUUAUGUGUAAGACCAAACCCAACCUAGACUAAAUACUAUUUUUUAGGUUUUCUUCCAAAAGUUGUUAAAAAUGCUUUUGAAUAUUUCAAAUCAUUUUAAAAAAGACCUUAUACAUUGUGGAAAGGAUCAAGAGACUUUUGUUUCUUGGGAGCACCAUAGUUAAUCAUAUUAAUUUGGCUGACCAAUAUUACGUGUAAGACCAAACCCAACCCUGAGCUAAAUACUAUUUUUUAGGUUUUACGAGAAAAUAUGCAUACGCGUUGCUGCAGGAACCUGUUGUUUCAAGUGUAAUCGGAUGAAUAAACACAUUUAAGUUGAAUAAAUUCAACACAAUUAUAAACAAAUAGAGGGAUACAUGAAUGAAUGGGGUCGAUAAGAUAAGCAGAUUUUUUUGUAUAUACAUUCAAGUGAGCUGACAUAUAAACACAUUGUACAAUAAGUGAGAAGAAACUGAACGUAUUUGAUUAGAAAGAGAUGGUUUCCAAAAAAGUUUUGUUUCCUUAAGAAACAAAGAAACUUGUAGUUCACAAAUAAAAUUUUAGUUACCAAAUCAAAAAAAAAAUGUGACUCUCUAUAUGGCUUUCUUACUACACAAAAAUAUCCCUUAGUUAAAGCAUGCCACACAUCAUCACAUUGCUAUUAUAUGAAGUAUAUUCCUCAGUGGCAAUUUGACCAUCGUUGUGCAUGUCAUGUCUACUCUAUGCAACUUAAUAUAUAAAAUUUAAUCAGCCCCAAACAGUCUCCAAAGCAUCUACAAACCAUUAACAUUAUUUCCCCAAUUUUAUUUCCCAAUUUUAUCAAAUGCUGCAUAAACAAUCACAAUUUACUCCCUUACAAUUUCCACCUAACUCCGAACAAACAAUAUUGAUAAAGGUUGUACCCAGUGCACAAGACUCCCGCUUUAUGCAGGGUCUGGGAGAGGUGAAUGUCGGCUAGCCGUACCCCCAUUUAUGGAGAGGCUGCUCCCAAGUCUUGAACCCGAGAUCUACCGCUCAUGGGCGAAGGCACUUGCCAUCACACCUAACUCCGAACAAACAAUAUUGAUAAGAAAAAAAAAAGUUCCUAUGCAAACAAAUUCUUCUAGAUGUCCAACCUAAUCCAUAUAUGGGAAGGCAAGCAAUCGGACGAGCAGUCAGACCAAGCAAAAUAAAUUUUACAAUUUAUCAAAACAGCAACUGAUUCUCCCGAAGAAAACGCACACACAUACCAACAUAUUAUUCAUCAUAUUCUAAGCUUUCAUUUUCGUUCUAUCUCUUUUGUUAUCUAAACUUAUAAUUAUCAAAACAACAAUAGAAUCAUAGAGAAACUUUCAAUCAUUUAUCAAAACUGAAUUAAUUAAACUUCUGCUCAGCAGUCCGUUAAUUUUAAUUGCAACUCUCAUUCUAAAAUUUUAAAAUUUUGCAUUUGAAUAAUCAAAUGCACUUACACAUUACAUUCCUUUUAUUGGUUCUUGACAAAAUACAUUUUAGGAUUGAUGUUACAAUAAUAUCAUUGCAAACAUGAAUCGCGAUAGAUAUAGAAACCAAACUUGCACACAAAUGUUUGACUGAAUUCAGAACCACUUAAUUCAACAUAAAAAAAUUACAUCACAUGCUUGCUCCCCUUCUGCUCUCGCAUCGUCGGCUCCACUUCUAAAUGAUUAAUGAAGUCCUAAAAACAGAACAAAAAACGUUUACCAAUCCAACAUUUCAACACAUGGUUUUGGCAGGUAUAACAUUUCAACAUAAGCAUGAUAUAGAAAGACAGAAAUCCACAUGUCACUUUGUUUUUUCAGAACCAACAAAAGGGGCAACUAUAAGAGAAUGUAACCAAUUUUAAAGAGUAAAUAAGUCUCCCAAUAAAGGAGAACAAUGUCGGCGGUAGACCAAGAGUAAGUACAACCCAACUGCAGCAACAAAAACACAAUUGACUUUCACACUACAAAAAUAAAUAAUAAAAAAACACAUACUUGCACCCAAUGCAAUGUUUUUUUUCUUUCUGUGCAGUAUAAGAAUAAAAAAGGAUAACAUUCCCCUGAAACCAAAUUCAUCCCCCAAUUUCUUGCAACAAAGAGGGAGACCAACCUUGUGUUCUUGGAGAACAGUACAACAAUUAGACACAACCAGACUGAUCCAAGUUCCCGCUAUGAUAAUGAAAAAUUAAAAUUAAUAAAAUAGCUCAAAUCAUAUCACAGUAUGUCACAAAGUACACCAUUGGAUAAUCAAUAAAUUUAACAAAAAUGGAUUCAACUCGCUCCAAGGUAAGCAAGCUUAUUAAUCAUUUUGUCAUAGUAGUAAUUGAACUUGAAAUUCCCCUCUAACGUGAUCAACCUUUUUUUAUCCACAGUUAAAAACGGAAAAGCAAAGGGUUAAGACAAUCAAAACUAAUGGAAAUUUUGAUAUUGUUUUAACAUUAACUCAGGUUGAUUUUGUUCACCAGCAUUAAUAAAACAAUUAAAUUAGAUGUAAGCCAAGUAACUUAGAAGUUAACCAUAUGAAAAAAGCAAUGACAAUCAAACUAACCUCUUCUUUUCAUAUGAAGUAUAAUCUGUUCUCUAUUUUGCCUUUGUGAAGAAUGCACUUUGCACUCCCUACACACAAAAUAGCAUACAUUGAAAAUGCCUAGUAACAUUAUAAAAACUAUAAAUAUAUAGUACUGCAUAUGUAUCAUAUACUAUAUUGUAUACGUAUUUGGACAUAAGGUAUAAAGAUUUACUAACAUAAUUAAGCUUAAAUUUAACAAAAGAAGUAAUUACAAAUUGAAAUCAAACGAUACUAUAGUUAAUUCUGAGUAAAUUUUACAAAUAGUAUUAUAAAUUGUUAAAAAAAUAACACCAUUAAAAAAACUCAUUACUUAAAUCUGCAAUUCUAUUAAAAACACAUCACUAAAAAUUAACUCCAAGGAAAGGGGAUUAACAAAUUAUACCUUUUUAAGAGUUGUAAUUGUUUUAUCUAUAUGUUGAGCUUGACCCACUGGAUUUGAAUCCUCAAUUGACUUAGGGACAGGCACGAAGUCUAAGGUUAAACAUAUGGUAAAAAUUACACUGGAUCAAGGCAUGAUUAGAGUUGAUGGAUGCAAUAUGGAAUAUAAGUUUUUGGAGAGAGAGACAACCAAACUUCACACUGGAUCAUAUUUUUUAGAGAUAGAGAGAGUUCUACUUUUCAACAGCGGAGAGAACAAAUUCAAGCUUGGGCAUAAAAAGAAAAAAUAGAAGCUUCAUAGCACAAUAAUUAACCACAAUCCUCUGUUUUUCUAAGUGCAAAUAGAAAAAAGGAAUCAAAAUAUUCAACACAAAAUCUUCACAUUAGCUCAAAAACUAUAUUAUUUCCAGAGGUUUCCAAUUUCCCAGCACGGAACGACAAACAUAAAAGCAUUAAAAAUAUAUAAUUGCAAAAAAAAAAAUAACAAUUCCAAGAAACUAAAUGCAAAGUUAGCCAGAUCUGCACAGUAACACAAACCCAUUACUUGAAAUUAAGAGCAUUGCGGCUCACCCUGAAAACACCCAUUUUGCGUGAGGAAGAGAAGCGAUGUUGCUCUGGCUGCUGAGUGCUGCUGGCUCCAAAGCAGUUUGUCUUCCAAAACUUUAUAAGAGCAAGUCCAACCCUUUAAAGCCACUGUAAAUCGCCAUGGAUUUACAUCAUUCUGCUUGCCUAAAAAAAGCAAACAAAAAAAGAAAAAAAUGGGAAGUAUAAAAUUCAAAUGACCCUUGAUGAACAUAACCCAGAAAUUUUCCUUGUAUUCCAUAAAUGCAAUAAAACAAAAGUCAGUGUCUCCAUUUUCCAAACAACCAAGCAAGCAAGCAACAAACUUCGAAAACCCUAAUUCGAACCAAUUUAGAACUAUAACCAAGUAAACCACUUAAUAAAAAAAAACCCACUAAUUUUCUCAAAAACCCAACAAAUUUAAAGGAUACAGAUGAUAAAUCCCCGUAAAUUCCCAAAUUUGAAAACCAGAAGAUAAAAAAAAGGCAAAGAGGCUUAUCUUUAUUCACUAAUCGGACACUAACAGAAAAAACUCUAAUUCAUAUUAUUCAGAUUACAAAUACACAGGGACCAUAUAGCUAAUAAUGCUAGACAAUUUGUCCCUAAUCCAACACAAAAAUUGUUCUGGUUAUACAUACGAUACCCGCCUAAAUAUCAACCAAUUCCAAAUUAAAAUGGAAAAUGAAACGGAGCAACAUAAAUUGAAUACAAUUUGGGGAAAUUUUGGGGAAAAUUAUCUCACCUGGAGCUCCGAAUCUCCAAGAGGUCCCGAUCCGAGCAGGCUCCGAAUUGGGUUGCUGAAGAUGGUGAUCAAGGAAGGGUUUUAGAGGUGGGUUUGAUCAGAUCAAAGCCGAAGCCAUUAGGUUUGGGGGGAGAGGAACACAGAGCCACUGUGAGAGAGAGAGAGCAUGCGUUGUCUUUUUCUUCUAUCCAGCCACUCGAUCGCAGUUCCUUCACAAAAAUUAUAUGCAUGUGUUAGUUUUUCAAGUUCCAGUUUUGCAGUCACCUAAUCGAUCAUAACACCAUUUGCAAAUAUGACAAACAUAAACAAUUAAGUCAGCAACAUGAUAUGCCAUCCCUUUCAUAUUGCAAUUAUAUAAAGAAAAAAAGAAAUGAACCAAAAUAAAAUUAUACUAUAAUCCCAUUAUAUGAAGGCCAAACUCUUGAGUUGGGGCUGGUGGCCGUUGACCACAUCAUCGCCUCCAUUUGAGAGAAAAGAGUUUGUUUGGCUCUUUUGUCCAAUUAUUUACUCUAACCGUAUUUAAAUGAAGAAGGACAACACCUAUGUUGCUCCAUUCUUGUGAUCUAAAUUUGAAGACGGCCCAUUGGGAGGGGCAGUUAUAAGUGUCAUCCUUUUUGUUUCUCCUAUCCCUGGAUUGUCAACAAAAAAAAACAUCAAACGAAGUGCAAUACAAUCCAAUUUAAUGAUCACAAAAUUUGAGCUCCAAACAAAGUCACAGGUCAGCAAUCACCUAAUUGAUCAUAACACCAUUCACAAAUAUGAAAAACAUAAACAAUUAAGUCAGCAACAUGAUAUGUCAUCCCCUUCAUAUAAACACAGAUUGCAAUUCAUAUACGCCACAUUAUUUACAACAAUUACAAAUCAAGAAACAAUUAAAUCAUCAUCAUGAAUUACAAUGUAAUAUCAACACCAUCAAUUAGAAGAGACAAAGCUACAUGGCAAUAAACAUACAGAGAGGAACUGCUUCAGAUCCUUCCCAAAAGUAAUCUUCGGCAGGAUAACAAAAGAGCGGUUGAUCUCUGAUCUAAUUGCAGACGCAAUCUGAAGAAUCGACUUCUAUGGAAUUUGAACUUGUGAAAUGUGGGGUGGAUACCUGAAUGUAACAAAUUGGUGGUAAGUGAAUAAUUCCAUACUUUUGAAAUUUAGAUCAUACGCCUGAACGCAAACAGAAGAAUUAAACAAAGAAUCGAAGGCAUAUGCAAUCUAAUUAGACAAAUAAGUGAACUUUCCCAUGCCAAAAUCCGAAAGGCCAACAGAAAUCUCUCAUUACAGGACGUAAUACAUAACUUAAAAGACAAAACUUAAAACUAAUUAAAAUUAGGUGAACCAAUUGAAGAGAACAUAACCCUUGUAACCAAUCCGGAAAAGAUGCUUUUAAAUCCCAGAAAAAAAAAUUAUGAGGAGUUUUUAAAAAAACCAUCAUUUCAAUUAUUUUGCCGUCUUACAUUUGGGAAUAAACAGAAAAUAUAACUAAAAAUGCCAACUUUCUCAUAAAGCUACAACUAUUUUAACAAAUUUCCAUCACUCAACACUGAAAAAUGAGAAUCACGAAGCAACGAAGAACGGAGCACGCUAGAAUUGAAACAUUAAAAACAACAUGUACCCAUUUCAAAGACCAAAAAUCCUGCAAGGACAAAAAAAAAUCCGAGAAAAUCAGUACAUCAGUACUCCCUGCAAAACCCCAAAAUUAGAAAAUUAGAAAAAGAACCCAAAUCAGUGGCAUGGUCCUCGUUCCCCAUGCCUUAAUAGACUCUGAAACUUUUGAUUCUGUCUCGGCCUAAAUGCAGUUACUUAUCUUAUUACUUGGAUUAUUCUAUUUCUAUUGGCAUCAAAAUUGAAGAAACACAAAGUUAAUCCCUAAAAUAAACACAAAAUCCAGAUAAAAACAAUAGGUGGUUGUGGAAUCAGAAACCCUAGGGGUGCAGAACAUUACCCACUGUCGUCGAGAACGAUAACCUUGAGCAACGUUCGUAUGCACAAUGACAUGGCGGAUGAAUUUAAACUGAUAUGAAUCGGAAAAAAAAAGCCGAAAAAUCAACUUUUUGGAUAGUGCCAAGGCGAUUGACUGGUUGAUGUUUUUGAAUUUUUCCUUUUGUUUUCUCUUCUCUUUCCAAACUUUUAAUCCGGGCCGUCCGAUCUUAACCCUAGAUGGGCAUUCCCAUCAUUAAAUUGAGGUAAGCCCAGCAAACACAGCCCAAACGGAACUAACCCAGCCACCUUCACCCUAGUGGCAAUUUUGUAAAUAAACUGAAAUGUCUUACAAAACACUGUUCAUUUGUACAGUGCAAUUUCAAAGCCUUCUUUAGACUAAAGUAAUUCCUCCCCUAGGUUUGGAAUCUCUUCAAAUCCGCGUGGAUCAGAAGAGAUCUUUCUUCCAGUAGCUAUUAAAGAAAUCAUGUCUUUCUUCACGUGGAUGAAAGCGUGCAUCCAAAAAGCCAUUCAAUUUGGAUGAAAGUAUUCAUCCAAAUUUCCAUAUCUGUUCGUUAGAUAGAAACUGAUGUAGUUUAUUAAAAGACAUCUUUCUUCCAGUAGUUUCUAAAGAAUUCACGUCUUUCUUUAUGUAGCUGUUAAGCGAAGACUUAUAUCUAUUCCCUUUUUUAGCACAAAGAUAUACAUCUUUCUUCCGGCUUGAAGAGUAGUUGUACUUCUUCCUUCCGCACAAAGAGUUAUACCCUUCCAGCAAUUGGCACAUACAAUGUUUUCAAGCCCAAAUAAUAUAUUUCAAUACUCAGAUCAUCACAACUUUAAUAAUAUGAUUUUCGUAACGUAUAUAUAUUUUGAAAUAUCCCCAUAGUUAGCUAUUGAAAUUUAUUUUUACCGAUAAUUACUAACUUUUUUUUUUUUUUUCUUUUGAGAAGAGAAAUGAUAGUGGUUUUAUUAGAAUUGGAAAAAGCUCAUACAGUUUCUAAAAGGGCGUCUAGAAUCAAAUUCAAAGAUUCCUCAAACCAACAAAAAACAAAGUUCGAAUAAGUAGCCAACUUGACCAUACGGUGUGCCGCUACAUUGGCGGAUCGACCAACAUAGCAAAUUUGCGAAGCUUCAAAUCCCUGCAAGCUAACUCUGAUGUCCUCCACUAAUAAAUCCAUGGGAGAAGACCCCUGCUUAAGACUACAAUAGCUUGAACAACUUGCAAAGUAUCACUCUCAAAAUAAUCCUUGGCAAAUUCCAUUGCAUAGCCCAACAAACACCAUUACGAACAGCAAUCAAUUAUACCAUUGUGGGAUUUGAUGCAGGGGAUAUUUGACGAACAAAACCUCCAGCAUAGUUACCUGCUUCGGCUCGAAAUACCCCACCUACGCCUCCCAGAUUCGUAGCAACAAUUAAAGAACCAUCCACAUUAAUCUUUAUCCACCCAGGUGGAGGGGGACACCAGAAGGACGAUGCUUGUAUAGGUCGAGAUUGGAAUGUAGGCUUAUCCUUGGUGAAUUCAUCAAGGUGCAGUUUGGUUAAAUGACUUACCAAAGCCGGAUUCUCAACUUUGGCAUCCCAUAGCAGAGAGUUUCUUGCACGCCAAAUCGAAUGAAUGAGUAUUAGGAAUAAAUCCAGCUAACUAGUAGGGAAGAAACACACAAAGACACCCAAUCACACACAGAGGAAUACACCAGAGGCCUUGGACCCAAAUUCAAAUGGGAGGAGAAAUAUGCCGCUCGGGCAAAUGGGCAAUCACUAAACACAUGUAGCACCAAUUCAGAAGAGGAACUACAAAGAAUACAAAUAUUGUCCACCGCCACCCCUUUUUCUCCAAAUUAGUGCGAAUAGGUAGAAUGUUGAGGCAAGCCGUCCAAAUGGACAUUUUCGCCCUAACUACCAGGGAGAUUAGCUUUCCACCGUAAUUCUAGCUAGCUCAGUUUUUCAAAAUAUAUAAUGUUCUUAAAAAAAGUGAGAAUUCAAGACUAAAGCAAACAAUUUUACAUCUUGAAAUAUUCCAAAAAUUUCCAAUAAAGAUGACACUAGAGUUUCUAAUUUUAUAUCUUCAGUUUUACAUCCUUGCAUUGAAGUUGAACCAAUCGAUUGCAAUUAGUCAUUUAAUGAGAAAUUAAGAUGUCUUAUUGCAUAAUUAAUCAAUUAUUUGUUUACUUUUAAGACAUUAAAUGCAUGGACUAUAAACAAGAGAGACCACAUUGUUUGAAGGAUAAUACUUGGGUACUCACAAGGGAGGAUGAUUCUCUCCCCUCAUAUUCCCAUCCCCUUACCUCCCCUCCUCUCACAUAUUGUUUUUUUGUCUUAUAGUCUCUAUAAAAAAAAUCAAUAUAAGAUGUUGACGUGACUAAAUCGUAACCGUUCAAAUAGGAGGGAAGAGAAGGAAAGAAAGAUUAGGAGGGGAGAUAAUCCUCCUGCACUCACAAGGGAGUAGCCAAAAUACCAACCAAAUGACAUGGAUCAAUAAGAAUUUAACACAUGUAAUUUUUUUCAAAAAAGAACCAAACAUCGUUCACGCUUAGAAGCCCAAAGGUUACCGGCGUCUUUUCCCAAUGAUGUAGUACUUCCCUAUGAGUAUCCAAGUAUUAUCCUUGUUUGACCAUAUUCAUGUACACAUAAAAUGACAUUUGACACAUGUAACCAACAUUUAAUGAGAUAAACUUAUUAAUAGAAUGAUUUUCACACACACUUUUUCGGGAGCAUUUUUGCUCACCACCAUUCAACGUGGUGUAUGCUCACCACCUUAUUUAGUACCGUUAGAUGAGUUUGAAUUUCGAGAUUCGUGUAGUGGAUAAACACAAAUUUCAAAAUUCAAACUCAUCUAAAGGGUGGUGAGCAUACAUCACACUAAAUGGUGGUGAGCAAAAAUGCACUCCACUUUUUCUUUCUAGUCAUUGGUUUGAAUAAGACAAAUAGAUUCAUAGUCAAGAUUAAAUAUAAGUGGGUACUAAUAGGCUAAAAAGGGUGUGCGUUUUUCAUUUCUCACUUAUUCACAUCAUAUAAUACAUGAAUGUGGUAAAAAAAUAUGUGAUACCACUAGCAGUUUCCUUUUAAAAUUUGACCAGAAACGGACUAUUUAUGGAGGCUUGAUACUUUCGCUUAUUCGACAUGCACAAGGAAAGCCAUGGCGGCUUCAACUAUGAAACUAACGCUCUUCUUACUCCCUUUGUUCUUCACCUUCUCCCUAAUAAUCUCAAGCCACCACCCACUAGAUCCUUUAACCCCAUCUGAAUUCAAAAAGGUCCGAACCAUAGUAAAAAAAUCAUACCCAUCUGGCCUCAAACACAACCUAACCUUUCAAUACAUAGGUUUAGACGAGCCAGACAAACCAGUCCUCCAAUCAUGGCUUUCAUCAAAAACCAAAUCAAACCCCCCUCCUCGACGAGCCUUUGUCAUCGCACGCCUCCACAAAGAAACCCACGAGCUCGUGGUCGAUUUAUCCAAUCGUUACAUAAUUUCCGAUAAAGUUUACGGUGGAAAUGAUGGUUACCCUAUGCUCACCAACGACGAACAAACAGCGGCAAGUGCACUUCCGUUUUCCUAUCAACCAUUUAUCGAUUCGAUUAAGAAGAGGGAGCUUAACUUGUCCGAGGUUGUUUGUACCACGUUUACAGUUGGGUGGUUUGGGGAGAAGCAUAGUAGAAGAGCAAUUAAAAUUCUGUGUUUUUAUAAAGAGGGCACGGCUAAUGUGUACAUGAGGCCCUUGGAGGGAGUAUCUUUGUUGGUUGAUCUUGAUGAAAUGAAAAUAGUGGAGUAUUAUGACAGGUCUAGGCUUCCGAUGCCGAAGGCUGAAGGAACGGAGUAUCGGCUGUCAAAGCAGAAGCCGCCAUUUGGUCCUCCGCUGAAUGGUUUUGUCAUCGAGCAACCGAACGGACCCGGGUUCAAAAUCGACGGGCACAAAAUAAGGUUAGCUUUACGUGAAUUUACUUUAAGAGAAAUGUGUGAUCACAAGAAAUUCCGCACAGAGGUUGAUUAUUAUCUUCAUUUCAACAAACCAUUUUUACGUUUAACACAUCCUCUUAAUUCUGUUAGUACUUGUUCAAUUCAGACUUGUGACUGCAAAGAAACCCCAACUUAUAAAGACUAAAAAAAGGUAUAUAAAAGAGAAAAACCUUGCAUAAAUGAUUUCCAUAAAAAUAAAAUAAAACACCCCAACUUAUGAUAAUGAAGGUGAACCGGAAAAUGAGUAUGGGUCAGUUAGCCUCAAUUAAUUAAGUGUUAGGUUUGCUUUCAUAAAACCAACAAAAAGAACCGUCUCCAAAAAGAACAGUUUUCAAGUAUUUUUUCAAGAUUUACUUGCAUUUUUGUAAAGGAUUGAUACCAAAAAUAUUUUCACCAAAAACGCUUUCAACAAUUUUAAAAGCAUUAUUCUUGACUUUAGUUGACUAGUUGGUUUGUCCCCCAGAAUUUUCAUAUGACAACAAACUUGAACGAUAAAUAUUCCACAAAUUAGGCGUAGAAUUGUCAUUAGACAUUACAAAUUAAAAUUUGCAACCUUGAGUCUUGACUAUGUAAUCACAAGACAAAUGCCGGCAAUAACCUGGCUAAUGUAUACGUGUGUUGUACAUCUUUGUCAACUGGUGAGUCCUUGACCUAAUGGACUUGAAGAUUGAAGCUCAUUGUCUUGUUAGGUGCCGCAUGGUAUUGAAUUGUUGAUUUUAAAAUAUGGAAUUACUGACUCGAAAAUAAGGAAAACGAUGGAUCCAUCUGGAGUACUAUGGUCAUAUAUUAAUGAGUAAUGCUAGGGAGAUCAAAUUUUUUAAACCAAAUUUGCAAACUAAAUGAUGUGGUUGAAGAUGAUUGGAUUAUUAAUUAAGUGUCGAUUAACGUGCUUGUUUCUUAUUUAUGACACAUCAUUUGAUUUGCAUUUUGAUUUAAAAAAUUUAGUCUUCCUAUCAUUACUCUAUAUUAAUGCAUAAAGUAUGAAUCCAUCUGGACCAUUAUUGUGCCGCUAAGUUAAGCUUCACCAGUGUUUGAUUUUCCCCCUUCCUCCAAUGCAAGGCUUAAAAUUUAGAAAUUGGAGUAUUGAUCUGAACUUGACCCAACUGAAAUUUUGGUUCAUAAUUUAAAAUUUUAUAAUUAAACGUCUCUAAAUUCGUCACAAUGUGGAGUUAUAGUUCUUUUGCAUAACAUUGUUCAAAUUUUUGUCUAAAAUAAAGGAUUACAAGGAAAAAAAAUAAGAGAUGAAAAUUUUAACUAAGUUACAAAAGACAGAUCAUUGAUCUAUAUUGUGACAAGCUCAGAGACCAUGACUCACAAAUUUUUAGUUUAUAAACCAAAACUCUAAUUGAAUCAAAAUUCAGAAGCCAAUACUCCAUUUUUUCUCAUCAGAAUAUGUGAUCGUGAUAACCAACACUAACAAUAAUUUUUUCGUAUUUUAAAACAUAAGAAGUAAAACAAAAAACAAAGAACAUGGAGGUCGAGACUAUACUAUUAAUUUUUGAGGUAUUCAUCAAUUUCCCCCCUGAACUUGUGACUAUUGGCCAAUUUCCCCCCUCAACUUUAAUUUGGCCAAUUUCCCCCCCAACUCUCAUAAUUAGUCAAUUUGCACCCUACUGUUAAUUUUUUAAUUUGAUCAUAAUUAAACAAGUGUGUGUAAGAAACUAAAUAAGAUGUAUGUUAAUCAUUUUCCUAUGUCUUUAUCCUAUUACAAAUAGAUUAAAAUUUAGAAUUUUACAAUUUAUCAUAGAUAGUAUUAUUACUCAUAAUAAAUCAGUAUGGAGUAAUUUUAUUUGAUUUUUUACUAUACAAAAUUGAUAAUGAAAAGGAUUGAUGUGUACAUUUUUGUAUGUGAAUACAAUUUUCUUUAUAAAAGUGAAAGCUAAGUUCAAGUAAAUUGCGGAGAAUCGAGCUUUAGUGCAAAAAUGGCUAGUCAAUUCAUAAUUUUCGACUCCUUAUUAAGAAUAACCCAUUUUAUUGAAAUAGGUCUGAUCCAUGAGUUUAGGAUUAUUAUUUCUUCUUCUACAUGCUUUAAACCCGAUUCAUAACUUUUUCUUAUAAUCAACCCAUAUCACAUACUAAUUGUAUUAUGUUUUUGUACAUUUUACCCUAUAUUAUGCAGGUGAGUUUAUGUUAAUUUUAGUACUUUGUUGGAAGUUAUUAGAAAGAUUGAAAGAAAAAAAAAUAGAUGGAAAAUUUAAAAAAAAUAACAGUAGGGUGCAAAUUGACUAAUUAUGAGAGUUGAGGGGGGAAAUUGGCCAAAUUAAAGUUGAGGGAGGAAAUUGACUAAUUAUGAGAGUUGAGGGGGGAAAUUGGCCAAAAUUAAAGUUGAGGGGGGAAAUUGGCCAAUGAUCACAAGUUUAGGGGGAGAAUUGAUAAAUACCUCUUAAUUUUUAGUUUUGGAGCCAAAAUCCAUGUUGGUUUAAGGCUUAGCUUUAACUUACUUUCUAUUCAUUAUGUUGUUUGUCUACAAUCACUCAUUAAUUUUCUGAUUUAUAAAUCCAAUAUUCAUUCAGCUGGGCCAAUUGGGAUUUCCAUUUGGGAUUUGAUGUUCGAGCUGGUCCAAUAAUUUCGUUGGCAUCAAUCUACGAUCUAGAAAAGGCUACAUAUCGUCAAGUAUUAUACAGAGCAUUCGUAUCCGAGCUUUUUGUGCCGUACAUGGACCCAACUGAAGAAUGGUACUACAAGACCUUCUUUGAUGCCGGUGAAUUUGGUUUUGGUCAACUGGCCAUGCCACUUGAGCCCUUGACUGAUUGCCCUGCCAAUGCUGAGUUCUUGGAUGCAUACUAUGCCGGGGAGGAUGGUACUCCUGUUAAAAUAUCUAAUGCUUUAUGCAUAUUUGAGCAACAGUCUGGGAGUGUCAUGUGGCGUCACACUGAAUCAGCUAUUCCUGGAGAACUGGUAAGGCAUCAAAUUGAUUUUUAACUUCAAGUUGAACAAGUCCCUUCUUGUAUUUCUUGUAGUUGUUCAUUUAUUAUGGUUGAUUGUUAAUUAAACAUAUCAAUUGUCGCGUUACGUCAUGCCAUUAGCCGAUGCAACAUGCAUGGUUUGAAUGUGUGGUCCAUUCUAGCAUUUUCUUAACAACAUGUGGAGAAAAAAUUUGGGUGAAAACUUUUCCUACCACGUUGCAGGUUGGGUGACACUAGGGAUGGACAAUGGUUAUGGCGGACGGAUAACCGUGGUUAUUUACCCAUAACCGUUUAUGUUCAUACCCGCAUAACCGUUUACCCGUUGGGUAAUUGCAUAAAUGGUUAUACCCAUACCCAUAACCGUUUAUAAACGGUUAACCAUACCCAUGACCGUGUACCCAUUUAACCAUAACCGUUUACCCAUUUAAUCAUAACAAUUUACCCACUUUUGAACCCGUUUAUCCUUUUUUUACCCAUUUACCCAUUUUUUCACCCGUCUACAUGUUUUUUUUUUAACAACUUGAAAAUUACAAAAUAAAAAUUUGUCAUCAUUUUCGUUUUCUAACAAUUAAACACUGUUACAGGUACAUUUUAUCAUGCAUUUCCCUAUUUUAAUCAUUUAAGUCCUCGUACAAUUCCAAUAAUUGAAAUAAUAAAUUACAAACGAUAUUUUUCUGCUACACCCAAGCAAAUCUUUAAUUAUAGCAUUAAUACAUGAUCACCAUACUGAGGACGAGGAGCGAUUCGUUUGGAGGUUGUUUGGAAUUGGUCGCGAUUUGCAGUGUGACCAUAUGAGAGGGCAGAAUGAAAGAACGAAAGCGACGAAGAGGACUGGGGAGUCGAGGAUGUGAGAGAGGAGGAAAUUAAAUCAUUUAGUUUGUUGUUCAGUUCUUAUUAGGAACUAAAGUUAUUUAGUUUGCGGUUCGGUUUCAAAACCGCAAAAAAUAAACCAUUCAGUGGGGUCUAAUUUAGUCCAUUCUGUUUCAAUUUUUGAUUUCAAGUGCCCAUCGGUAACUAAAAGCGUUUACUUUUGCCAUCGAGGUUUAAAAUUUUCCCUCCUCCAAAAUGUCCUUUGUCUUAAAGAGUGAGGGAAGUAUUUGAUUGGUUGUUGCAAAAGUGUGGGUAAAUGGAUACCCGUUAUAACCGCAAGUAAUACCCAUAACCGAUGGAUACCCAUUAUAACCGUGGGUAAUACCCAUAACCGCCCAUUUAAAUUUCAUGGAUAAACGGUUAUACCCAUAACCGUUUGUUCAUCUAAACGGUUACCUAUAACCGUAACCAUGAACUUUAAAUGGACGAAUAUCCGCGGUUACCCAAACUUAUGGGUAUUUUACCCAUCCCUAGAUGACACACACUAUCUAGUUAAAAUAUAAUAUUUCUUACAAGUUCUUAAUUCUGAUUCAAAUUAUCUUACACAUUUCAUGCCUGAAUUUUCAACCGACGUUGUUUGCCACUGUGUUGUAUUCUAACAUGACAGAUCUUGGUUUUACAGAUAACGGAGGUUAGGCCAGAACUAAGCUUGAUAGUGAGGAUGGUCGCAACUGUUGGCAACUACGAUUACAUACUCGACUGGGAAUUUAAGCCAAGCGGCUCCAUCAAAAUUGGGGUAUGAUAAUUGAUAAAGAUGGAUACUAUUUUAAUUUGUUUACCAUCGAUCGGCAUAAGAUUAUAUAUAAGAAAGGGAGCUGACUCGAGCGCUCUAAAACUGUGAUCUUGCAUUCAUUUUUUAUAAUAAUUCAGAGAAAAAGUAGACAUGGAGGAGUGAAUAAAUUGUCAUUAGGUGUUUCUGCGUUGCAGCUAAACCAUUUUCUUUUUCAAACAGGUUGGCUUAACAGGAAUACUAGAAGUGAAGGCUGCAGAUUACACUCACACUAGUCAAAUAAAGGAGGAUGCUUAUGGUACAUUGCUAGCAGAUUAUACAAUUGGGGUGUACCACGACCAUUUCUUGACCUAUUACCUGGAUCUUGAUGUGGAUGGUGAAGCCAACUCCUUUAUUAAAAACAAUUUGGUGACCAAAAGAGUGACAAACAAGAACUCACCUAGAAAGAGCUACUGGACAGUUGAAAGUGAGACAGCAAAAACCGAAUUGGAUGCAAAAAUUCAGUUGGGUUUGAAGGCAUCGGAGCUGGUUGUGGUAAACCCUAACAAGAAGACCAAACCUGGAAACAGCAUUGGUUAUCGUCUAAUUCCAGGGUCAAUAUCACAAGCACUUUUAAGCGACGAUGAUUACUCACAAAUCCGAGGUGCAUUUACCAAUUACAAUGUAUGGGUCACACCUUAUAACAAGUCUGAAAAAUGGGCUGGAGGACUAUAUGCUGAUCGGAGCCAUGGAGAAGACACACUGGCUACUUGGAGCCUCAGGUAUAUUUAAACAAUUAAUAUUAUUUAAUUAUAGAUACUGUUAAGGAGACCAUGUAAGAAUAGCUUACAUAGAUGAUUAUCAACUAACACAUACAAUCACAAUUAACCAGAGUCAAUACUAACACGCAAAAAUUAGACACACACCUGAGGAUGAAGAAGACAUGAUGCUUGAAAUAAAGAUAGUCUUCUACUCUCACAAAACUAUGCUUAUGCUUUCAAUAAGACUCAGCACACUAUUAAACCUAUAUUUGGAGAGCAGGGACCAACCUUUUUAUAGUCACAUAAGGCCUAUCGAUUCCACCUAUUAGGAAAACAAUAGGUCUCUCAAUAACUCAUCAUUAACUGCAAUAAGUCCCUUACAUUAUUAUUUUGAAUGUUUCAUAUAACCUACCGUUUACAAAACUCUAUUAACUUAAUCAAUACACUUCUAUCAAAAUAAUGAUUAUGUCUACUCAAAUUCUUACAUUCUCCCACUUGAGUAUACAUAAUCACAUAGUAUUUAACUGUAUAGAAUUAAGUUAACAGUGAUUGCUGAGUUUAUAUAACAAGAUUAUCAACUUAAACAUAGAUGUGAUCAACUAAAUCAAACCUAGAACUAUAAAAUGUUGAUGCAUAUCAGCUGCAUCAUUACUCUAUAAUCACCGAAGCUUAACUAAACCGAUCACAAAGCUACAUGCCAAAAAAUGUAGUAUUGGAAGUGACAAAUCUUAAUACUCCCACAUAAUUGGUCCAGACUUCAAGUUUUAAAAAAAAAACUUGUGUAUUGCAGUAUCAACAAAUAUAGCUCAUUACAGAAUGAGCAAACAUUGAAUCACAACAUGAAACAUAAUUGAGAGGAUAUCAACAAAGAAGUGGACAAGAUAAGUUUAUCAAAUGUAAAUAAAAAUAAUAACUUGCUCCCACUAAUGAAGAUCAUCAAGAUUCAACUACUCCCAUCUUCGACACAUGAUUCUUGAAUACUCCCACAGGCAAAGGCUUUGUUAAUGGAUCGGCCACCAUUGAAUGAGUGUCAAUGUGCUCAACUUCAACAACCUUUUUCCUCACUUCAUCUCUUAGCAACAAAUACUUUGUAUCCAUCAACCUUGCAGCUGAGGUUUUCUUAUUGUUCUUUGAAAAGAACACAGCUGCCUUGUUGUCACAAUAAAUCUUCAAAGGCUUUUGAAUCGAAUCAACAACCUUCAUAACAGUCACAAGAUUUCUGAGCCUGAAUGCUUGUUUAGAUGUUUCAUGACAAGCAAUGAACUCUGCUUGCAUUAUCGAAUUAGCAACACAUCCUUACUUAGCACUUUUCCAAGAAAUUGCUCCUCCAGCCAAAAGAAAAAUAAAGCCACUAGUCGACUUUCUAUCAUCUGUACAACCAGCAAGUUUUGAGUCCGAGUAUGCAACCAUUUCAAGAUUUUCCACUUCGCUAUACACCAACAUGUAGGCCUUUGUUCUUUUCAUAUACAUGAGCACCUUUUUAGCAGCUAUCCAAUGAGGCUCUCUAGGAUUUGAUUGAAAUCUGCCAAGUACGCUAACAGCAAACGCCAAGUCCGGUCUAGUACAAACUUGAGCAUACAUUAGGCUUCCCACAAGUGAAGCAUAUGGUUUAUCUUUCAUCUUUUCCUUCUCCAGAUCAUUUGCAGGACAUUGAUCCUUGUUUAGUUUAUCUCCUUUUCCCAUGGGCAACUCACCAUUUGAACAUUUCUCCAUGAAUGGGGUCUCACAGAGUCCUCUAGUCCCGUUCCGGCCCUCUUGAGAAUUCUAUCAAUGUAAUUCUUUUGUGAUAAUCCCAGGAGUCGUCUCGUUAUGUCUCUGGUUAUUUCAAUUCCCAGGACAAAAUGAGCUUCCUCUAAGUCCUUCAUUUCGAAGCUACUAGACAACAUCUUCUUGGUAUUCAUUAGUAAUUGCAAAUCUGAACUUGCCAAUAAGAUAUCGUCAACAUAAAGUACAAGAAAAAUGAAUUUAGAACCACUGACCUUGAGAUAAACACAAUCAUCUAGCUUGUUUUCCACAAAGCCAAAAGAUGUAACGAUCUGAUCAAAUUUGAUAAACCAUUGUCUGGAAGCUUGUUUCAAACCAUAAAUUGAUUUGUUGAGCUUACAAACCAUAGAUUCUUUCCCCCUUUCAACAAAUCAUGGAGGUUGUUGCAUAUAUAUAUUUUCAUCAAAAUCCCCAUUAAGAAAAGCAGUUUUGACGUCCAUCUGGUGAAGUUCAAAAUCAAAGUGAGUAGUAAGAGCCAUAAUGACUCUCAUAGAAUCCUUGGAAGAAACCGGAGAAAAGGUAUCAGUGUAGUCGAUACCUUCUCUUUGAGUAAAACCUUUUGGCACGAGUCUUGCUUUGUGCCUUUCAACUCUUCCUUAAGUGGUUUUAAAGACCCACUUACAUCCAAUGGGCUUGAUGUCUGAAGUUCUUUCAACUAGUGUCCAAACUGAAUUCUUUUGCAUAGAGUUAAGUUCUUCCUCCAUAGCGGAUUUUCACAAUGCAUGAUGCUCACUGUUCAUAGCUUGAUUAAAUGUAAUUAGAUCACUCACAUCACCAAAAUCAUAUUUUGUCUCCUGUAAGUAUACCACAUAAUCAGAAGGAAUUGCAGACUUCUUUUGUCUCUGAGAUUUUCUGAUUGAAAUCACUUCAUUAUGAUCUGCCAUAUCAAUUUCAUUGGGCUGAUGUUCAUGAUUGACAGUUCGGGGAUCAACUGUAUCAUGAUUAGCAUGUUGUUCGUGGACUUGCACCUGUGGAUUUGAAACUACUAGUGGCUAAUAAUUUCAGUAUUAGCAACAGAUGUAUGAUCACUAUCAUUAAUCUCUUCAAAAGUGCAUUGCUCAGCAACAUCUUAUGUACAUGCAUCUUCUAUAAACUUGGCAUUAUGCGUUUCAUGGAUUCUGGUGUGCAUAUUGGGACGAUAAAGUUUAAAGCCUUUGGAUCUUUUGGCAUAGCCAAUAAAUCGACAACUAAUUAUUCUUGGAUCCAACUUCUUUUCGCUUGGAUUAUAGAUUAUAGCUUCAGCCAUGCAACCCCAUAUUCUAAAAUGAUUAAAGCUAGGCUUUCUACCAGUCCAAAUUUCAAAGGGAACUUUACUCACUGACUUACUUGGGACUCGGUUCAAAAUGUAGUUGGCUGUCUUCAAUGCUUCUACCCAUAGAAAAAUGGGUAAUUUGGACUGAGAAACAUGCUUCUGAUCAUUUCUUUCAGCGUCCUAUUUCGUCUUUCAGCAACAUCGUUUUGUUGAGGUAUGCCGGGAGUUGUGUACUGAGCCACAAUUCCAUAUUUCUCCAGAAACAGGGAAAAUGCUCCUUUUUGUUGUCCAGCUUUAGUGUACCUAACAAAAUACUCAUCACCCUUAUCGGAUCACACAAUCUUAAUAUGUUUAUCAAGCUGUUUUUCAACUUCAUUUUGAAAAUUUUUAAAACAUUCUAACACAGCAGAUUUUUCAAAUAUUAAAUAAACAUAAGAGUAUCUCAAAAAGUCAUCAAUAAAGGUGACAAAAUAAGAAUUUCCACAUAUUGUUUUAGUCGGGAAUGGACCACAAACGUCUGUAUGGAUUAUUUCUAAGAGACUUAGACUCCUUGUAGAACCAAUUUUUCGAACAUUUGUUAAUUUUCCCUUAAAACAGUCCACACAUUCAGAAUAAGCAUUUAAAUCUAUUUUUGAUAACAUGUCAUGCUUUAUCAAUUGCGUAAUCAUUUCUUUUGAGAUAUGUCCUAAUCUUUUAUGCCAAAGCAUAUAAGAUUUUGCGUUAAUGAGCAUUCUCUUCGAACCACUGCAUUCAACAUUAAGGCAUUCAUCCAUAUAACUGCAAUCUAGUUGCCAUAAAUCAUCUCUAAGAAAAGCAGUGCAAAACAAACACUCAAAUUUAUUUUUAUGAUAAAAUUUGACACUCUCAUCGUCUCCAACAAAAGAAUGACCUGACUUGACUAAUUUUGAAGCAGAAACUAAAUUCCUUCGCAUGGAAGGUACAUAAAGGACAUUAUUGAGUUCUAAAACGAAACCUAAAGAAAACUUUAGUUUGACAAUCCCAACAAACUCGAUUGCUAGCUUUGAUCCAUUCUCAACGAAAACAUUGUAGAAUUCCUUAUUUCUUCCCUCCUGUUUUGUGAAGCUCUGCAAAGAAUUUGUAAUGUGUACAAAACAACCAGGGUCAAACCACCAAGAGUUUUGAGGGACUAAAAUCAAAUUUGACUCUAAGCAAACAAAAACAUUUAUUGUACCUUUUUUAACAAGCCAUUCUUUGAAACCCUCACAAUUUUUCCUUAAGUGAUUAGUCUUUUUGCAAAAAAAAAAAAAAAAAGCUUCAUUUCUAUUUUCUUUACAUUAAGAUUAUGUCCUCCUCUAAGGGGGUUAGCAUUCUUAGAAGGCACAUUUGAAGCGGCAUAAGAAGAAUCUUUAAUAGCCUUACCAGAGAAAGAAGAUGCAACCUUUUUACCCUUUGUAGCAUGAACCAAAUUCACUUCUUCAGACUUCUCAUUUUUCUGUCUUUCCUCCUCUUGAGCACAGAUAGAUAUCAGAUCAUUAAUGUCCCAUUUCUACUUUUGAGUAUUGUAGAAGACCUUAAGUUGUCCAAACUUGGCAGGUAAAGAAUUCAGUGCCAUAUGAACUAAAAAUUGAUCAGAUAUUGGUACCUCUCUUUGAGUUUUCCAGCAGUGUCCGCCAUCUUCAGAAUGUGCUCUCUAACACCGGUAGUGCCAUCGAACUUCAUGGUGGUGAGUGAGGUCAGGAAGUUUCCAGUUUUAUCCUUCUCUGAUUCUUUGAAUUUUUCGCCAAUGGCUUCAAGAAAGUCCUUGGCCUUGUUACAUGUUGGAAUUCCUCCCCUUACAGUCUCAGUCAUCGCCUUUUUCAUGAUUAAAAGACCCAUCCUGUUGGACUUCUCCCAUUUUUCAAACUUGGCCUUUUGCUCAGCAGUGCUUUCCACGGUAAGAGCUGCAGGCUCUUCCUCCCUAAUUGCCAGAUCAUAAUCCAUGAGACCUAAGAGGAUCUCAAUGUCCUGUUUCCAUUUCUUGUAAUUACUUCCAUUCAAAGUCUCUAUGCUAGAGAAGUUCAUGGAAGUAGUGUUUACAACUGCGGAAAAACAAAAGUUUGUGAUUAAUAGGUUCAAGAAUUUCUAACAACAAUAAUGUUAAACCAGAAAACUAUUAAUAACAUGUUUAGCUGGUUUAAAAACAAAAGCUUAUAUCAUUAGUAACACCUUUGGGCAGAGACUGAGGAUAUAAUCAAAAGUUGCAUAACCAAAACAGAGAACACUUAAACAUAUAUAAAAUUCAACACCUUUGUGGUAGAUGAAAAAUAUACAAUCUAAAUAUUUCAUGCUUCAUUAUACACUGAUUCAUAGUUGGGCUAGACAAAUAAUUCCUUUGUGGAAAAAUGAAUCUAUCGAAUAACAUACAAACCACAAGUUGAAUUUCUUAGCAAUCUAAUAAGAAAACAAAUAAAUAAUCCACUUUAGUAGAAAAUCUCAUUGUGUCUUAAAAGAUUAAAUCCAAGUCCAGGUUGUUGUCCUAAGAGACAAAAUUCAUCAUAAGAAAAAUCGAUGAAUUGCAUAAUUGUUGAUUCAAACAAAAUAAUCAACAUGUUUCUUGUAUUUAAUAGAAUAAAACCGUACAAAAUCCCUAAUUUUAUAAUUUCUUCAAUUAAAUGAUAUGAACUUGUUACUUCAAAUUAUUCCAGAAAAAAAAAAUUUCAUCCCAGCAUCAUCAAUAAACCAAGAAAAAUUAAAAUUAAUUGAAUUUGGGGAACAAAAGAAGUAUAUAUACAAGCAAUUGAGACGUCGUAGCAUACCUUAUCUGAUUUAUUUAUGAGAAAUUGCGAUAAGAAAUCCAUAGUAUAAACAUGAUCAUGAUGCGGAAGCAAGAAAAACAGAAAGCCCAGGACGGGGAACGAAAAAAUUAAGAAGGAAGAAGACAGAUUUCUACCUUCCAUAGCAUAAGGUUUUCGAAUAGGCUGAAUAGCUUAGGAUAAGAACCAAAGCAUCAAGUCUUUAAAGCAAAAAGCAAGCCGUUAUAUAUAUAUAUAUAUAUAUAUAUAUAUAUAUAUAUUAAGGUUCUAAAAAACGCUAGUCGGGCGGCCAGCUAACGCCUAGCUCCUAGGCACCUAGGCGGUCAAGGCGGAUUUAAGUAUAUGUGUAAAAUUUUAGAACUUUUUAUGUUAAUUUUGUAACAUUUAGUCAUCCCAUUUAUUUUAAUCAUUUGUUGGGCCUUUGUUUUUCAUUAAAAAUGAACUGGGCCUUUGUUUUUCAUUAAAAACAAAUUCGGCCAUGUUUUAAAGGAAUGCCAUUCCUAGCCAAAAAAACCCUAACUCUAAUUAUCUAAAGCACAGCCACCCCAUUUCUCUACAGAUACCUCUACCUCUCUCUCUCUCUCUCCACCAAGCCAAGUCGUCCAUCUUCUUUCUUCUUUACCAAACCCUAACUCUAAUUACCUAAGCAGCCGCCCAAUUUCUCUGCAAUUGCAUAUACCUCCAUCCCUCCCUCCCUCCCUCUCUCCCCAGCCAAGCCGUCCCUAUCGAAACCUGUCUUGUCCAUCUUCUUUCUUUCUUUGCAAUUGUAGAUCGAAACCCGUCCUGUCCCUCUUCUUUCUUUCUCUGCAAUUACAGAUCGAAACCCGUUGGGAUGGUCGCCCAAUCGUCCAACCUCAUUACCAUAGCAGAAGAACGACGUUAUAAUCGACUUACCAUCAAAGCCGCCUAGCAGUCGCCGAUGCUGCCUAGCCCCUUCCAGCGUUGCCUAAUACCCUUUCCGAUUUCUUCGACGAUUUUGGUUUAAUUGCAGCGGCGAACCACCGCCCACCGCCUAGGCCACGUUUUAGAACACUGAUAUAUAUAUAUAUAUAUAUAUAUGUCAAACAAAUCACAAACAUGGUAGCUUUUGUACUUUUUAAUAAUUCCUUUUCAAUCUAUACUCUCUUACAGUAGUAUUGACAAAAAGUGAACUCUAAGUGUGUUGAUGCUCUGAUACCACAUGCAAGAAUAGCUUACAUAGAUAAUUAUCAACUAACACAUAGAAUCAUAAUUAACCAGAGUCACUAACACACAAAAAUUAGACACACUUGAGGAUGAAGAAGACAUGAUGCUCGAAAUAAAGAUAGUCUUCUACUCUCACAAAACUGGAUGCUUAUGCUUUCAAUAGGAGGUCAGCACACUACUAAGCUUAUAUUUGGAGAGCAGGGACCAACCUUUUUAUAGUCACAUAAAGCCUAUUGAUUCCACCUAUUAGGAAAACAAUAGGUCUCUCAAUAACUCAUCAUUAACUGCAAUAAAUCCCUUACAUUAUUAUUUUGAAUGUUUCAUAUAACCUACCAUUUACAAAACUCUAUUAACUUAAUCAAUACACUUCUAUCAACAUAAUGAUUAUGUCUACUCAAAUUCUUACAGACCAAACUUUUAAAUCAAAUUUGUAAACCAUACGAUAUGUAUGUGUGAGUAUAACAAUUUUAGACGUAUGUUUGUGUACAUUUCUUUUGUUCUAAAUUAUGUGAAAAUGUGCAGGAACCGAGAGAUUGAAAAUAAGGACAUAGUGUUAUGGUACACCGUGGGGUUUCAUCAUGUUCCUUGCCAAGAAGAUUUUCCAAUUAUGCCAACAUUAAGCGGUGGAUUUGAGCUUCGGCCUACAAAUUUCUUUGAGAGCAAUCCUGUGCUUAAAACGAAACCUCCAAGUUCUAAGCAUGUUAACUCCACAAUACAACCCUAAUUUCAGUAGUUUUCUUUUUCUUUUUCCCCUACUGAGACUUUUGUAAUAUGUCAGUACCCAAUAAAGAUGUUAAAUUUACUGUAAUUUACCCUUUUUUUAAUUAUUUUGUGUAACUAAAAGAAAUCUUUAUUUUAUAUACCAUCAAGUGGAUUCAUGAUCUUUUGUUUGGAUAGCUUCUAGGAAGUCAAAUACUUCAAGGACAAUACAUUCAAAGCAUCCAACUAUAGAGAAUGGUAAGAAGAGAUGGUAUCACUAGCAUGCAACUUAUAGAGAACUGGUUGAUCAGACCCUAUAUAAUUGACAUCUAAUUUCGUACCCUAGAGAUGCCAUAAAAAAGUAAGAGUCUUCAAUAUUGUAGAAACUUCUAUAAUAGAAACUUCUAUAAUAGAGAAACUUCUAUAAUAGAGAUGCCAUAAAAAAGUAGGAGUCUUCAAUAUUAUACUAAAAGUCUCAAACCCAUAAUAUACUCAAUAGUAAAAAUAAACCCUUGCGCGACAAAAUACGAAUCGUGACGCAAAAGGUAUUUGUGCAAAGAAAUUUUAAAACUCAUCACGCAAAGUAUAUAAAAAAAUAAAUAGAAUAAAAACUUUGCUCGACGAAAGCUAUAUAUUUCUUCUCAUAGAGACAAUGUAUUUUUCUUUUUUAUAUUUUAAAUUGUAAAAGGAAAUUUUCUUUUAUUUUAUUUUGCGUGAUGAAAUUCCAAUAUUUCGUCGAACAAAGUCUAUUUAGUUUCAUUUUUAUUUAAUUUUACAUUGUAAAUUGUAAAAAAAAAGUAUUUUCUUUAUUUUUUUUUGUCCGACGAGGUUGAUACAUUGUCGCCCAAAUAAAUAAAUUUAUUUUUGUUAGUUUUAAUUGUAAAAGAAUUUUUUUUAACUUUGCGCAACGAAAGUGAUGUUUCGUCACUCAAAGUAAAUUUAUUUUAUUUUUUAUUUUUAAUUGGUAAAUAAUUUUUUUUUAACUCUACAUCUCUAAAUCCCAAUUUUAUCGCACAAGAUUUGUUUAAUUUUAUAUGUUUGAUUGUAAAAGAAAUUACUUUUUUUUUUAACUUUGGGCAACGAAUCCAAAUAUUUGGUCGUGCAAAGUAAAUUUACUUUCUUUUUUUAUUUCAUUUUAUGUUUGAAAUUGUAAACGAAAAUUAUUUUCUUCGAUUUUUAUUAAUUAUUUUAUGAAAACUUUGCACAAAGUGUAUUUAUUUUAUUUUAUAUUUUUAAUUGUAAGAACACUUCCACCUGAUUACGCAUUUUGAGCGAUAAGACCAUGUUAAUCUUGUACAAGGAGGAUGGAAAAUGCACUUAAAUUGUAUUUUAGAAAAUUUUAAACGUUUAUACUUUCGCCUACAAGUCUUUCAAACUUUAAUACCCUUAUAAAAUAAUUGAAAAUAUCUAGAAUAGUUCAACUUCUUAUAAUUAUAUGCAAGCUUUUUUUUUUUAUGUGUGUGGGACAAUGAUUUUUUGAGGUUGAAGUAAGCCCUGGUUUGGUACUGCUUAGAUUUUUUUAAAGUUAAGAUGAAAAAAAGUUGAGUUUAAUAUUGUGUUUGGUAACUCAGCUUAUUUUCAAAGUUAAUGUGAGAAACAGCUGAAAAUGGGAAGCAGCUAUUUGCUUAUCACAGCAGCACAGGUGAACAGUAACCUUUAACGAAAAUUUUCAAAUGACGAUCGUACCCUCACCCCUCACCCCUCGCGUCUCACUUCUCCUUUCUCUUGCAUCUCACUUCUCUCCCUCCAGUCUUCCCUCAUUCACUCCCAGCAGCCGCCAACCUGAAACUUCUUCCUUCCUCUCAACGAUAUCUCUCGUUCUCCAGGUCACGUUCUCCGGCUCAACAUCCUUCAUCUGGUAAGCUUUUCUUGUCUAAAAUUUCUUUAUUUAUUUGUUUGGAAUUUUUAAAUUUAGGGAUGGCAGAGUGAAAAAAUUAAUUGGGGAAAAAUUAGGGUUAGAAAUUAACUUGAUUCUCGAGUGAAUACCAUGUAGGAGCAGUUUAGGAUAGAUUUAAAGGGGUCUCUCUGGGGUUCCGAGCUCCUAAUUUUGGGGCACCACAUAUAUACUUGUUCUUUUUAAAUUUUGUUUUGAAUUAUGUUCAAGAUUUGUUCUUUAUUUUGAUUGUUUGGGAAUUGGUUUUAGAUUCCGGAGCCCCUUACUGGGAAAGUUUGGAAAUUGGAAGACUUUUAAUCACAUCCUACUUUACUGGUGAGUUCUUGCUUUGUGUUUUUCUUCAAUGGUGUUUUGGAUGGUUAUUGUUUGUUUGAUUUUCUUAUUAUCUAUCAUAUUAUAUGUCAUGUAUUGGAUAUUGGCAAUUAGUUAGAGUGGAUUUUUAGAUUAAUUAACAUGAAUGAUGGGUUCUUAAAUAACAACUGCAACUGCAAAUGACAUGACAAUUGCUAUUUUAGUGGAAAUCAGAGGACGUUAAAACGUAAUGGUUGUUUAUGUAAUGUCGAAUUGUUUAGAAUAAGCUGCAGAGCUACCUGCAAUUUGUUCAUUGAUUUAGUCAAUGACCCUAACGAAAUAAGGUAGGUUCCUUAGAUUUAUAAGGCCUAUCGUCUGUCAUAGGGCAUAAGUUUCUAAGAGCUGCACAGCAAAUUGGGCAGAGGGGAAGGAAAGGUUGCAGGUCUGCGUGAUUACGAUGACUCGUGCCAGCUUGAUUCUGGUGGUGAUGUCGAUUUGCAUGACCACAAGGCUUCAAAGUUGCUGCAUUAUAAUUCUGCUUUUGAAAUUUUAUGCUUCAACUUUUAUUGGGUUUAAGUGCGGGUUGAUAUAUUUGAAUUUUUAAGUUGGCUUCUGUAGAGAUUAGAAGGUUUCUUAAUUAUCCAAAAAGGAAAAUAAAGCAUAUAAGUGGCUGUGGAUAGCUUACAUCCAUGUAUCCUAUGAUCUGGGGUCUAACUAAACUAUUGAGUCCCUGUAGAGUAUUGUGCAUUUGUACUGAUGUUUAGCUUGUGUGUCAUUCCCUCAAUGGGCAUCAUUUUACCUUGUGUGUCAUUUCCUCAGGGAUAGAUCCACAAUGUUUAUCCCUCAAAUAAAACAAUGUCACGUAUAUAUUUGUGCGUGUGGGUACAUAACAAUGCCAUGCCCUGCUUUAUUUCUUAUUAAAUGAACAUUUUAUCUUAUUAAGUUAGCCAUGGCCCUUAUAGACAAUCCAGGAUGGGAAGGCACUGCACAUGAUACAAGACUUUUUCUAUCCGUACUACGGAAUCCAAAUUUAAACUUUUCGAAGUCUCCAAAUGGUAAUCUUUAUACUUAUUAUAACAUUUUACAUACUUGCUUUGUAUAAUUAUUACAAUAUAAAACAAAAUUUUCAAUUUUCAAGAAAAUAUUACUUGGUAGAUGUGAGGGACUCACAAAUGAGAGGUUAUUUGGGACCAUAUAAAGGUGAAAGAUAUCAUCUCCUGGAUUUUCGUAGGGGUCUCGAACCAACGGGUCAUAAAGAGGUAUUCAACCACAUGCAUUCUUCUCUUAGGAGCGUCAUUGAACGAACUUUUGGGGUAUGGAAGAAAAGAUGGGCAAUUUUAAGGGAUAUGCCUAAUACAUGUUCAAUAAACAAGUGAAGAUUGUCAUUGCUACAAUGGCUCUUCAUAACUACAUAUGGAGGUAUUCUGAACGUGAUCUUCAUUUUGAUAACCCUUGGGACUAUUGUGAAGAGAGCGAUAUCAAGUUGAAGGAUCACAUGAGAUAGAAGCAUUAAGAAAUAGAAUAGCGGCAAGUUUGAUGAAUGCAUCUAAUUAGACUACUUUCAAGUACAUUAACAAUAUUGUAUUAUUGAAUCCUAGCUAUUUAGUCUAAAAUAUUUCAAUAGAAGUAGUUUUUCAUACUAAUUAAUAUUUAAGAUAAUAUUUAUAAAUAUUUUUCUUUUAAAAAUAAAGUAUAUUUAUUAAUUCACCUUUAUUUGUUAAGAAAAUUAAAUUAAUGGCACAUCCAGUAUUAUACCCUUUUUGGUCAUUUCAUACAGUUACAUCUGUUUUACAUAAAAGUUUACCAAAUACUAUAAUAUUACUUUUUCUCCAAAAUCACUUUCACAAAAAAUUUACCAAACAUUCUGCUGCUUUAUUUCACAACUGAUUAUUCUCACAGCACAGCAAAAUCAAUUUUUUUUCAAAGCACAACAAUACCAAAUCAGCCUUAAGUGGAUCGGAAUACAGCUACCUCAGAAGUCCAUCAUGGACUCAACAGCUCCGAGCAGAGCUGGAUUAAUGGAGCAAUGGUGUCAUCGGGCAACAGGUGAAGUCCAAGCGACCAUGCUUGUUUCGCAUGAUACGGACAUCUGAUCUGGGUUAGAAUUAGCCAAAUCCUCUAUAUCUUGGAGUUCCUACAAUCUAGGAAUUAGCGGGCACUGCUGAUGAGUAGAUUUUAUAUUAUAUAUUUUACUCUAUUUUUAGUAUAUUUUGGUUAAUAUUUUGGAAGAAUUUUUAUACUUUGAAUUGUAUUUUCAAUAUAGGACUUUCGACUUUCUCUAGAGCAAAACAGAACCAAAUGGACGAAUUUUGGAGUAAUUCCAAUUGGAUGACGUUCGUGAGUCACUUAACUUGAUCGUAUGAAAAUUUAGGAUUUUUCCACCAAGCGGUUAUUUUCUAGAGAUAAAAUAAAGGAGCGAUGCUCGGUGUUGGGAAAUGAUGUUUUUGGGCUUAAAUUGCGUUUUUGGAGCCCAAGAUGAUCUCGGAUGGUUUCGUGGCCUUCUGGAGAAGUGUUUAGAAUAUUCCAAACAUUAAAUCUAGCUAUAUUGGGCCAGUUUUGGAGCAGCUUAUGGGUCCAAAACGUGGUUGUUCAUAUUUUAGGCAAAUUUUAUCAUUUAAUUUAGGGUUAUGUUUCCUAUUUUAUUUUAUUAUUAUUUUUAGUUUCCUAGUGGGAAUAAAGGACCUGUUUUUAGGGUUUGGUUGGGGGGGGCUUAGCAUAUAUAUUGCUUUGAUGUCUACCGUUUUUCUUUACGUUUUCUUUUAUGCAAUUUUGGAGACAUAGAGAAUUGCUAGGAUUUUUGGAGCUUUUCUACUUGAAGGUGCUUUCAAUCAUUUUCUUAAUAAUAUUUUCUCUGAUUUUAAUUGUAAAUAUGCGUAACUAAUUUCUUUUGCUAGGGCGAAGCCUUGAGCCUUAGCAUGAAUAUGUGAUUUUUAUUUAAUUGUUUAUGAUUGAUUGCAUGCAUACUUUGAAUUAUUAAUCAUCGGGAUUAAAACUAUCUAAUUGUCUUAAUGCCUGAUCACCAUUAGGAUCUUUAGAAAAGUAAUUUGAUACAAUUUUGGUCGGAAUGUUCCUUGAAAUUAACGCUGACUUCUUGUGAUUAAUAAUUGUAAUUUCACUUAAGAUGAACAUCACGUCUUAAGGGUUGCAUGAUUUUUCAAAGGGUUUUCAUAAAGCAUAAUGAGUCUUUCAUGUUUAGAUUUGAUCUGAACGUCCAGACGGGUUGCAUGUUAGAUAUACGUUCUAUGUUGGAGGUUCCAAGUAGAAUAUGAAUUAGGAAAAUCUAACCUUCAAAGUGGCAUGUGUAGAUCAUAAGUAAUUGGUAAAAGUUUAUAGGAUUGCUAGGUGAUGGUGGAACUUUAGUGUUUUUUUAAUUUGAUUUCUCCCAAAACUGUUUUCUUUUCCCUCUAGUUUUAAUAUUGCAGAUUGUCUUAUUUUUAUUAGUUAAAUUUGUUUUAUUAAAUUAGUCCAUAAAAAUCACUCAUCAAGUUAUACUUUACAAUCAUUAAUUGGAAUUUGGUUUGUUUCUGUUUAUACCAUACUUAGGGCCUCUGUAUUUAGAUCUUGUAUAAAUACUCAGAGGACUCAAAUGUAAUUAUGUAAUAAAGGAAUGGGCAAAUAUGUAAUAAAUGAGGAGUCCUUAUUCUAUAAAAGGACCUCUCACUCUCCUCAUUCAGAGAGGCCAAUUCUAAGGCCAUACCCUUACCCUUUCAAUCCUCUCACAAAUAGAGAAAUACAAUAUCAGUGUGGACGUAGCCCAAACAUUGGGGUGAACCAUGAUAUAUAUUAUGUUAUUUACAUUUCUUGUAGAUUCACGGUCGGAUUUACGUUGUUCCAAGACUUCCGGUUUUGUGCAUCAACAUUUGGCGUCAUCUGUGGGAAUAGAUACGAAAAGUUGUGUCGGUUCUCUUUCAUUUUCUCACCUCUGCCAUGAAUAUGCAGAAACCAAGAAACAAACACCUGCACAGUCACUGCAAAAAAAAAAAAAAAAAAAAAAAAAAAAAACAAGCUCUCUCUCUCACUCUCUCACUCUCUCUCAUCACUCCCUUGCUUUUCACUCAUUCGUUUGACUCAUCUCUCUUCUCUGUCUGUGUGACUAGGGUUUCUCUCUCAUUCGAAAACCCAGUUAGUCCACUAUUCGAGCCAAGUUUUUGCACAAUCCAACGACGACGUUGCAGCUCGAUUCUGCCUUGUCGUAGGCUCCGACAGCCCACCAAGGGACCGUCCACCAAAGGACGAUGACACUUACGAGCAGCACUCCAAGAUGUGUUUUCUUGUCAUAAGAUUUCACUUUUCCUUUUCGAGGUGGAACAAUACUAUCUCUGUCGACGACAGCCCACCAAGGGAUCGUCCACCAAGGGACGAUGACACUUACGGGCAGAGCUCCAAGAUGCGUUUUCUUGUCAUAAGAUUUCACUUUUCCUUUUCGAGGUGGAACAAUACUAUCUCCGUCGACAUCCUGGCGUCUCACAGCCAAGUUUUUGCACAAUCCAACGACGGCGUUGCAGCUCGAUUCCCUUUCUGUUUCACCUCAAAAAAGUGUAUUGAAUCCUCGUCAACUUUCACAAAUUCAAUUCAAAUUUUGACAUUUAAAUCUUGAUUUGGUGAAUGAGAGCGAUGUGCUGAGCGAUGGCGCUUAAGGCUCCAGCUCCGGAAGCUGUCGAGAUUGCAAUUGCAUCCAUUGGGCGUGGAUACAAUAUGUCCACUGAUUUACGGCUCAAGUACUGUAAAGGGGAGUCUCACACUGCUCGAUUGAUUGAAAUCGAUGACGAUGGAGGUCGCGAGAUUAUUCUUCCCGGUGGGAUUACCAUCCCAAAUGUUCCCAAAUCGAUUAAAUGUGAUAAAGGAGAGCGCACACGAUUCAGGUCCGGCGUUCUCUCUUUCCAACAGAGACCGUGUCGACACGCAUUCGGCCCCAAUAUCUGCCCAACAUUCUGCUCCCAUUCCUUCUCAUGCUCCCGGCCUGUCUCCUAACCCAACAAUGGGUGCUCAUCCAGGUUAUAGUCCCCCAGACCAUUCAGCGCGCAACACCACCAGCAGCCUCUUAGACCGCACCGCCUCUCACUUCCCCGCCGUAGAUCUCCUCCCCAAAUCACGGAGCUCCGUCCAAGUCACCUGCCUGUGCCUGACGGCCCGUGAAAAUAAUCCGACCCGGUUCGUGAAAUGACCUAAGGUGGUUCAGAUUCAGAGGGAGAAGAGGAUCCUGAAGCAGAGGUCAAAGGUUCCUCCAACGCGAGGAAGAUCUGGCCUAAGGAAUUCGCUGCACUGUUUUACAGUCUUCCAAGUUGAUUAAGGGAAUAUUUGAGAGGUUCAACCGGGACAGAAGUGGGUUCAUUGAUGCAAAUGAGUUGAGAGAUGCACUGCUGAGUCUGCCAAAAGAGAAAAGUAAAAGCAAUGACCAGGCUGCCAAAAGAGAAAAAAAACAGAAAACAUGGCUACCCACUAAUGCACAGCAGCCCAAGCUCCAAGUUGAUUAAGGGAAUCAACUUGGCACGAUGACAGCACAGAAGAUGCCCACCAACUUUCAUCAUGUUCCCAUUCUUCACAGACGACACCAUGAUGUUAAAGAAAAAGAAAAAGGAGAAGGAAAAGAAUAGAAAAAGGAAAAGACAUAAUUGUGGUGAGGAUGGCAAGGGAAUUAUGGGCGUGACCCAUUGAGCAGAUGGUCGGAUUUAUUUUUUGAAUGAUGUAAUUUACUUUUCUUAUCUUUUGCAGACAUCUGUAUAAACUCCAUUAGAGGGUAAUACAAAAUAAAUAAAUAAAACGGCAAACCCAAAAUAAUAGCCUGGAAUGUAUUGAGGAGCAAACCCUUAUUCUAUAAAAGGGACUCCCUUACCAUCAUUAGAGAGCAUUGCCGCUUGCUGAGCAACCGUCUUGCCGCGAGCACCAACUCUAGCCCAUCGUUUUUUGUAUUGAGGAGUGAGCCCUUAUUCUAUAAAAAUGACUCCCUCACCUUCAACGCUACAAGCCGAGCCAACCAAGGCAACAUAAGUCACAAGUAGAGCAGCCUCGCAACAUGUGCUACUUCUGGUUGAGCAUCAUUUCAGAUUGGGCACCGCCUCAUAUCGAGUAUUAGUUCUAAAUGACAUCUAGUUACUUUGGCCCAAACAUGGACUGAAUUUCAAGUCUCUAGCCAAAAGACUCUCUUGACUGAAGACUUGGGGGACUACUGUUUAUACCAUACUUAGGGCCUCCGUAUUUAGAUCUCGUAUAAAUACUCGGGGAACUUAAAUGUAAUUAUGUAAUAAAGGAAUGGGCAAAUAUGUAAUAAGUGAGGAGUCCUUAUUUUAUAAAGGACCCCUCAUUCUCCUCAUUCAGAAAGGCCAAUUCUAAGGUCAUACCCUCACCCUCUUCCUCUCAAUCCUUUCACAAAUAGAGAAAUACAAUAUCAGUGUGGACGUAGCCCAAACAUUGGGGUGAACCACGAUACAUCUUGUGUUAUUUACUUUUCUUGCAGAUUCAUGGUUGGAUUUACGUUGUUCCAAGACCUCCGGUUUUGUGCAUCAACAGUUUUGAAUUAUUUAAUAAUCCAUGUGGAGAACGACCUUGCGAAAUCCAUUUAUACUACAACAACUUUGUAAUUCUUGCAAGUAUUAUAGGAGUUUUUAGCCCGUUAACAUGUGUAGCAAAAUCCCUAGCAACUACAAUUAAUCACACUUCUAUAGAUGAUGAAAUAUCUACUUCAAGAUAUCCUCUAGGAACCUUCCGGCUUAGAACAAGGAUUCUAUCUUUAAAAGGUCUCUUUCCUACAUCCUUCUAGAAUUCACCUCUGGUAAUGCAUUCAUCACGCUCUAAUUCUCUUGCUCACUACUUAAGUCUUAUAUUUGCUUAUUAAUUUGAUCGGCGGAGAGCCUUUGAUCGGCACAUUUCUCGGUUUUAGGCUUGCUCACAAGUUUUUGUUGUUUUACAGGUUAUUCAGAUUUAUGUUUCCACCAUUCACAGUGAUCGCGAAUUUAAUUCAAAUUCAUACUCUCACUUUAUGCUAAAGGUUAAAUAUAACAGCUAUGCAUAGGGAGUAGAUUUGAGUAGGGCUCGUACCUAUACUGUGACAUAUCGACAGGCUCCAUCCCUUCAAGGUCCUACUUUACCAGGUCGAUACUGACAUAUCGAUCGGCUCCAUCCCAUCAAUGUGGACAAUUAGCUUUUGAUUCUGUGGCAUUUAGCUUCUCUUGCAGCUUUGACUUUUCUGUUAAUUUGUCUCCACUUGAUGUGUUUUUGGAGGAAUUACGGAAAGCAAAAAUUUCUUAUAUGGACAAAUUCCCUAAUACCAGCCAACACUUCAUAAAGGUAAUGCCACGUGGAUAGAUGGUGGAUUAUAUAAAGGAAAAAGAAAGGAUGACACGUGGCAUGUUAUUAUUCGUUAAAAAUCUAAUCGAAAUCUAUCCACAAAGAUUGUAAACAGAUUAUGAUACGUGGCGUGACGUGAUUGGUUAAAAAUUUUAUCAGAAAUCUAUCAUUAACGAUUCUAAAAAGGUAACGACACGUGGCACGACGAUAUUGGAUAAAAAUCUUAUCAAAAUCUAUCACCAAAAAUUGUAUUUUCGGAUAAUAAUACAUGGCGCAACGAGAACGAUUAAAAAUUUUAUUCAAAAUUACAAAUAAAAUUAUUUUGUAUUAUUUUAUAAAAUAAAAAUACUAAUAUUUUAUUACUCAUUGUCAUGGUUAUUCAGUUAGAAGUGAAGAUGCAAAAGACAAUUACAGUUUAGUAAAGGCAGUUAUUGUUCACCGGAAGGGAUUCAAUAGGAAGUUGCCCUAAGAGACCUUUGAUACGCUGGAGUUGCUCUAAUCACACUCACACUUAAUGAGGGAUAAGAUUGUCUUGCUCUACCAUACGUAUCAUGUGAGAGGAUAAGAAAUAGAAUGUGAGUACAAUCCAGCAGUGUGUGUAUUUGUUCACAUGCAUUUGAAGUGAACUUUGAGCAUAUAUUUACGAUCUACACUCCUAUUUUUUGGUAAAAGUUGGGACUAGUUGUAGGACUUACUUUAUAUCAAAUUGUAGUAAUCCGAAUCAUCGAUUUUGUAAGUCUCGAUUCAUAUAUAUAUCAUCCUUACAAAAUUCUAUUUAAUCUGAAACUAUUUAUCUAUUUAAUUAUCACGUUGAAAUUGCAUCAUUUUUUAGAGAACAAAGUAUUCUUUAAUUUCUUUGAACUCAAUUAGAUGUUUUAAAUAUUUUCCAAUUUGGCUAAUAUUUUGUAAGGAUGAUCUAUGUGGUGCAACUUGAAAAAUAAACGGUUCGGAUCGUUAAAGUUCGAUGUGGUGUGAGCCCAACAACUAAUCCUUAUUUGUAUAUAAAUAAAAAAAAUAAAAGAUAAAUAAAAAAGGGCCGGAAUCCCUUCCAUUAAACACGUCCUAGGGAUAGAUGUAUCCUCCAUUCGAUCUUCGGUGUUACAUUGCCCCUAUAUAUCAUGUUAGUACUGUCCAUUAGUGUCUACAGGAAAACAAAAUCUACCUAAUUAACGCCACGACCCUACAAUAAAUAAAACCUUAUGUUUUCUCAAGUUAGAAUUAGAAUGUUACAAAUUUAUUGAAAAAUGCUUUAAACCAUAUGACUUGGUUGAUGAGAUGUGAACUCCAAGUUAAUUCCUUUUAACAAAAUCAUAUAUAUUCAUAAUACUUUUUCUGAGAGACAUGACAAAAAGAGAGCAUAAUUAUCAAAUAGUUUUACUCACACCCUACGUGUUAAUUAGAUUAAGGUUUAAUUUGGUAUUUUAUUUACCAAAAACUGCUUUAUGUUAAAUUCAAUCAAUAAAAAAGUGUUUGGUAAAAAUAAAAUAUCAUGUUUAUUUUAAUAGCAAUGACAUUCAGCCAGCAACUUUUAAAAGUAGUUUGUAGGUUGCUUUUUAAAGCUGCAUUAAUGAAUAUUUUUAAUUCCUAUAAAAAGCUCAUUAAUUUUAAAAAAUAACAUUAUUUAUCCUUCAAGACACAUUUUAUCCUUGGAGAACAAAGUGACCACCGCCACCUGCCAUUACACCAUCAUUGUUGCCACCACUACCACACCAUAGCCGCGCACCACCACCACCACUACAACCACCGCCAUAACCAUAUUCGCCACCACUACCACUACAACCACAACUGCCACUACCAUCGUUGCCGCCACAGUAGCCACCACCGCCACUAUAAACACAACCGCCACCACUGGCACCACAACUACCGUUGUCGUCGCCCCUACUACAUUGUUACCUCUAUAGCCCAAUCACCACACCCCUUUAUUGGCACCCCCACCACCACCAUCACAACCAUUGCCUUACAACCGUUAUCAUCGUCAUCGCCCACACUAUUAUGUCUAUUUUUGUUGUUAAAUACAAUUAUAUCAUUUUUGCAUUAAAAUUUAUCACAGAUUUAUCAAACACUCAAUUGCUUUAUUUUGCAGUUGAUUAUUCUUAAGAUCAGCAGAAGCAGUUUUAAAAAAAAAAAAAAAAACACAGUAAUCCCAAACUGACCCUAAGGCUAAAUCAUGACUAAAGUUUAUGCUUUUAAGUUUUCAAAAUCUUAAAGUGGUCGAAACUCCAUCUAGCACUUUUGCUAUACUAGCUUGCUGAUCAAAUUCUUAUUUAAUGGGACCAAAGAAGCUUAAAACUUACAUUGUAAUAUGCAUGCCAUGGCAUCAAGAUUGGCACCAAGUCUCUUAGUAAUCCUCUCCAUUUUCAUCACCUUGUCAUCACCAACCUCAUGCCAUCCUCUAGACCCUCUAACACCAUCCGAGUUCAUCCAUGUCAAAACCAUAGUCCAAAAAUCCUACCCUUCUCAAAACCUGAGCUUCCAAUACGUAGGCCUAGAUGAACCCGAAAAGUCCACCGUCCUCUCAUGGCAAUCAAAACCCACCAAAACCCCGCCACCUCUUCCUCGCCGUGCCUUGGUCGUUUUACGACUCAAAAUGAAAACCCUAGAGCUCAUAGUCGACAUAUCAACCCGUUCCAUAGUUUCCAAAACUGAAUUUGAUAACAAACAUGGAUACCCCUUGCUUAACAAUGAAGAACAAUCUGUUGCGACUGAACUCCCGUUCAAAUAUAAACCCUUUAUCCAGUCCAUUAAAAAGAGAGGGCUUAAUAUGUCCGAAGUUGUGUGUAGUACUUUUUCAGUUGGGUGGUUUGGGGAGGCCAAUACUAAAAGAACAAUAAAGAUUAAUUGUUUUUACAAAAAAGAUAGUGUAAACUUGUACGUUAGGCCAGUGGAGGGAAUAACAGUCGCGGUUGAUCUGGAUGAGCUGAAGAUCGUUGAAUACAUCGAUAGGUUUGUUGCACCUGUGCCAAAAGCUGAGGGAACCGAGUACCGAGCGUCCAAUCAGAAGCCUCCAUUCGGUCCAAGGCUAAAUGGUGCUCCAGUUAUGUCUGGGGACAAAGGGUUCAAGCUCGACGGCAACACUGUCAGGUUAGUCAUAAGUUAAUUAAUUAUAUUAUAAUUAACUUCCAGCAUAUCUUAAAGAUAACUGUGUCUCACGUACGUACUCUUUUUCCUCAACCACAUGUAGUAGUUAUUCCUUAAUUUUGGCUGUAUUUAGUAUUUUUUUUAAUCCAAUGAUGUUCUACUAAAUCAUUGUACUAAUUAACUAUAAUUAGUAUUGUACUUGAAUGAAUUCUUAGUGGAUUUGAGUAUUUAAUAUAUGGUUAUAAUAUUAUUGCUAUGCUUAGAAGUCAACACUGUUGUUUGUGGAAAUUGUAGGAAGCUUUUUUGGGUGUGACGAUUAUACUCACAUAUUAUGUUUCUAAUUUAGGUGUUAUAUAAUGAAGUUUAUAGAUCUAGAUAUAUUAUUAAUAAACAGAUACACAUGUUUAGAUAAUACUUAGAUACUUGCUAGUGAGUAUCAUAUAUACUCAAUUUUGUGAUUUGACUCAAUUAAAAGAUCACAUAUGUUUCUUGUUUUUAAAACUUCAAGAAACAUUAUAACAUAUAAAAAAUUAAGAUAAAACAUGCAUUAAAAUGUCAUUGAGCCAAAUCUAAAAAGCGAAUAUAUAAAGUACAUACUAGUAAGUACCUAAGUAUUCUCCAACAAAUGAAUUGAUAGACACCAUUAAUUUUUGGGUUUAGAUAUAAGCCCAUGCAACAAUUAUUUCCUUGACAAAAACCCAUCUCAUUUUAAACAUCCAAAUAAAAUCUAAAUUUGAAAUAGACUGCCAUGUAAACAAGUAAAUACCUAUUAUUUUCAAAAUAUUUACAAUUGUUUGUGCCACAACACCCUAAUUAUGUUAAUGAAUUUAAUUAUCCAUCACAAUUAUGGGAAAUAAGUGCCUUAUUAUUACAAAAGUAUCUACCUUAUACUUGUCUUACCAUCAUAUGUUCCAUUUCUUUUAUUUGUUUGACAACCAUUAUGGGUAGAUUAUUUUGCAUGUUUAUACUAGACACAUUUUGUUAUAAUUAUGGAUAUUAUUUAGUUGGAGCUUAGUCAUUAGGUUAUUGUUAGAGAAAUUUACCAUGAUGAUUUUAGUUAAAGAAAAUUGAAUUUCAAGGGGUGUACUCAUAUUUUCAGUCCACUUGAUAGUAUCGUCACACGAAUUUCACAAAAUUGUACAGCUGACGAGUCGGAGUACGGUUUCCUUAAAUCAAGGCGUGGCCCCCUGCCCAUACAUAUGUCAUAGAUUAAUAUUCGUGCAAUUUAAAAAAAAAUAGUAACAUUAGGGGGACCACAUAUCUAUAUCAUAUUUGGUAUAUUAUCUCAUGUGGUAAGUAAAGUAUACAAUCAAUAUUCAAUGAGAUAAGUUCAUUAAUUGACGUGAUAUAUAUGCACAUUAUUUACUAUCAAAUGAUACACAAAUAUGGUACAAAAUAUGUGAUUUCCCUAACGUUUUUCUGAGAAGAAAUUUUGGUUGGGGUUGCAGUAUUCUGUUUUCUAUUGCACAUGUUUUGAUUUUGUUACUAGCUAGAGUCGGUUGGGAUGCGUUAAUAUUUAGGGCUUAUAAUUAAGAAUUGUAAUAUAGGUCAUCUCCAACCCUUGGGGAUAAAGCUUAAAAAUUUAAGUAAAACAAUUUUAAGCCAUAUGCCAUAAACAAUUUUUCCGCUCUAAUUCUUGUGGCUUAAAAUUUUAGCCUGUGAUAAUUAAAUCAUGAUUUUAGCCUAACUUUUUGUUUUCGGUAACUUUUUUUUAAAAUAAAAUUUAUGUAGAUUAUCUUAAUUUACUUUUAUGAACAUUUUAGUCUAAAAACAUUUAAAUUCUGAUAAGUAAUUAAAAAUCAUACAAAUACAUAGGUAUUUAUAAGUUUUAAGUUAAGUUUGAUUUAAAUAUAUUUUUUAAAUUAUUUUAGACAUUAUAUUUAAUUUUGGGCCAUCCAAUAUUUUUUUUUACUAUUAGAUUUGAUCUCAUUUGAUCCUAGCCGUUAGAUUAUAAGUAAAAAGCAAAAAAAAAUGUUUUGAAAUAUGACAGUUUGGUGGGUCCAAAAUAAUUUAAGCCAGACUUAAAUCCUGAGAGGAAUCUAGCCCAGAGAUAUAUUUUAUCCCUAGGGCUUAUUUUAGCCCAUGGUUGGAGAUGGUUUGGGGGUAUUAAAGCUUAUAUUUUAAUCUUUAUUCCAUAAAUCGAAGAUGGUCUAAGUCUGCAAAUUUGAGUGAUAUAUAUAGACUGUAUUGUAGGUUACAAUAUCAUUAAAUAAAUCCAAUCACAAAAGUUAAUGUAAUGUUAAUUUUUUUUAAUACAACGAUAUAUUUUACACUAAGAGGAGGAGGAGUUCGGCUAAGCCACACAUAAUGGGCAACCUAAUUUAGUAUCGAAUUUACCAUCUAUGAGAUUUGAAUCUAAGACCUCUCACUUACAAGUGAAGAGGAAUACUCUUUGACAGUAGUACUGAGUGGCAAUGUUAAUUUUAUAUUGAACACUUAACAGAAGUGUUUUGGUUACAUAAACGAGAGAGGAUCCUCGCCGGAUUCUCUUUGUGAGGAUCCCGGGGAUCCUCCAAUCACAUUUGUUCAUCGUACAUCGUGGGCGAGUUUUUGUCAGGUACUGUUUAUAUUUAAUUUUAAAUAAGAAAAUUUACAAUGAUUUCUAACCGUACGAUGUAUGAUGAACAUAUGUGAUUUGAGGAUCCCCAAGAUCCUCACAAUACAUAAACCACUACUUGUAUUCUUUAUAUUGUUUUAUGAUUGUUUUAAUUCAUUGUUUGGGAAAGGGAUCCUCUCCGAAUCCCUUCCUCCUAAUCCACCAAAUCAGGAAAUCCGUGCCGUUGAAAUUUGAUCCGGAGAUGAUCCCUUUCCCAUUGUUUGUUUCAUUGACUCUAAAUCAAAGUGAUCAUUGUGUCCUUUUUCUUUCUUUUUCUACAUACUUUAAUUUGUAUCAUAUAAUAUUUAGAGUUAAUCUCAGUUUACUACCCUGAAGUUUCUUGAUUUUCAAAUUUGGCACAUAAAGUUUUUUUCGUUACAGUCUAGUACCUAAAGUUAUAAUUCUAGGACACUUUCAUACAUCCGUUAAGUUUUCCGUUACAACCUCCGUUAACUGAUGAUGUAGUGCCCACGUGGAUAAUAAUUGGGCGCCGCAUGUCAAUAUGGGCUCACUUGAAUAUUAAAAAAAAUUAAAAAUGCAAAAACACAAAAACUCUAAAAAAAAAAUAAAAAAUACCCACUUGUCUUCUACCUCCCCCCAACCCCCUACCUCCCUUCUUUCCUCUGCAACCCGAUCCCUUCCUUCUCUCCUUUGCAACUCCCACCCACCCUCCCUCAUUUCUCUCUUUUGCAACCCGCACCACCCUCCCUCAUCUCCUUUGCAACCCACACCCUCCUCUCCUACCUCACUUCACUCUCUCUCCCUCCCUUCUUUCCUCUACGCCUACCCAACACUCUAUACCCAACCCACCUCCACCCUUUUCAUCUCCCCUCCCUUCUCUCUCCUCCAUCCUCUUCACCUUCACCCUUUGCAAAUUCGAAAUUCGAUCCGGAGCAGCUACGGUUCACGAGCCACUCGAGGAGAGAGAAGAACCGAAGUAAGGGAGCUACCACGGGCUGUUGUCAGAGUCCAGUGAGGUGGCGGCAGGGGCUAGGAAUGCUCAAGAAUCGAUUAGGAUUUGGGAAUUUAUCCAAAUUAGGGAUUUGGGUCAACUGGGUUUUUGAUAAAUUUCAUAAAUUGGAUGGGUUUCUUGUUGAAUUGGAAUUCUUUUGGGUGGGAUUUGUUGGGGUGGGUGUGUGGGGAGGGUGGAUACGGGUUGCAGAGGAGAGAAGGAACGGUGGUGCAGGUUGCAGAGGAGAGAAGGGAGGGUGGUGCAGGUUGCAGAAGAGAGAAGGGAAGGAAAGGGUGUGGGUUGCAGAAAAGAGAAGGGAGGGAGAGGGUGCGAGGGAUGAGGUAGGAGACAGAUGGUUUUUUUUUUAAUUUUUAAUUUUUUAAUAUUCAAGUGGGCCCAUAUUGACAUGUGGCGCUUAAUUAUUGUCCACAUGGGUGCCACAUCACCAGUUAACAAAAGUUCAAACGAAAAAAUUAACAAAUAUAUGAAAGUGUUCCAGAAUUAUAACUUUAGGUAUCAGACUGGGAUGAAAAAAACUUUUAUGUACCAAAUAUUGAAAACCAAGAAACUUCAGAGUAGUAAACUGAGAUUAACCCUAAUAUUUAUAUGGGAAGUGAUUUUCUUGCAUUUUUUUUACUCUCGUACACAUCUUGUUUAAUUAUAAAAAAAACUAACGAAAAAUCCUCAAAAACUUUAGUUUUAAUGAAAAUGACAAAAUAAAGGUGUAAGUGAAUAGUAAUAGGAGUGACUUUUCAAAAUAAAAAUUAUCCUUUUCAUUAAAAGUAAACAGUGCUUCAUUAAGAUUCCCUUAAUUAUAGCCGUCUAUUUGACUAUUCAAUCUGGUAGCCAUAAAUUUUUCCGUUUAACAAUUGGCUUUUUAUAUUAGUACCCCAUAAAAUGUUGAAUGCACCCCACAUUAAAAUUUAAUAUUAAAUGACUUAUUUACCUCACCAUACAAUAACAAUUUUGACCUUAUUAGGUUUAUAAAAAUAAAAAUUUCUAAAUACACUCCAAAUCACUUUUAUCGCAUUAUUUAUCUUCUCAACCAUCAAAAUGUGGAAUCGCACAACUAACCAUUUGUACUUGUACCUCCAUUUAUAUCCAUCAAUGUAAAAUGCAGCUUCAAAUAUCUCAAAUUCGUUUGGAAGUGAAGCUUCAAAUAUUUCAAAUAUUUCCAAGAGUAUACGUCUUAAAACCAGCCACACAACAAUUCAAAUAUUUCCAUGAGUAUAUGUCUUAAAACCAGCCACGCAAUAAUCAAAAUAAAAUUCCUACACUGCAGAAAUGAAGUUCAUGAAAGUCAAAACAAAAAUUGCAUACCACGAAGUUAAACUUAUUAAUAAGCUACUGCUGAUGUUACCCUACUUAAUGAAGGUAGACAUCUAUCGAUGCAAACUAUACUAAGAUGAUUUCAAAUCAUUAUUUUGAAAUCAUUCGGCAAACUAAACGUUCAGAUGAUUUGAAAUCUUUCGGCAAACUAAACGUUCAAAUGGUUAGACUCAGUCCCUGAAAAUAAAAAAUGAGUGUUAUAAGAUUUGAGAAAUAUGGUGUGUAUAGAAAAUGUGGCGUGUAUGUACACAAUAUAAGAUGUAUAUUGAGAAUGUGAGGUGUGGGGUAUUAUAGGAAAGUAUGUGGGGUGUGUUAAGAUAAUUUUUAAGUGAAAAAGUAAAUGUAUGGUGUAUUAAGUAUGUAGAGUUUAUUCAACAAUUUGUGGUAUGUUAAUAUAAUAAGCCUUAACAAUUUACUAAUAUUCAUAUUUGUAAUCAUCAUCAGGUGGGCCAAUUGGAUCUUCCAUCUCGGAUUUGAUGUUCGAACGGGUGUGAUUAUAUCUCAAGCAUCAAUAUAUGAUCUUGAAAUGCACAAGUACAUGAGGGUUUUGUACAGAGGCUUUGUAUCCGAGUUCUUUGUCCCGUACAUGGACCCCACAGAAGAAUGGUACUACAAAACCUUCUUCGACUGUGGAGAAUUUGGGUUUGGUCUAUCCACAGUCUCACUCAAACCGUUGACUGACUGCCCAGCCAAUGCCCAGUUCAUGGACGCCUACUAUGCUGCCCAGGACGGCACGCCGGUGAAGAUAUCGAAUGCUUAUUGCAUCUUUGAGAGACAUGCAGGCAACAUCUUGUGGCGCCACACUGAAGUCACCAUCCCAGAUAUAGUGGUGAUGAUAAAGUUUUCUUCUUAUUUUUCAAAUGUGUUUGAUUGAUUUGUUUUUUGAUGUAAAUGUGGUGUAAUCGAGGGAUAACGGAAUUGCAGAUCACAGAGGUUAGGGCUGAGGUCACUCUGGUUGUGAGGACGGUUUCAACUAUAGGCAACUAUGACUACAUAAUUGAUUGGGAGUUCAAGCCAAGUGGCUCCAUCAAAAUGGAGGUAUGUUAUAUGAUAGCUAGGGUCUUAUAGUGUGUACAUAUGUACUGGUUUAAAUUUUAAGUAAACUUAUAGAUUGAUAAUCUGGAUAACUAUUUGCCAACUAAACAAUAUAUAUCUGUCGGUGAAUUUGAAUGAUUGGUCAUGUUAGUUUAUUAUACGAUCAAAACGUUCUUCCUGUAUUCAUAUUCUGACAAAAUGAGUAUGUGUCAACAGAUGUUACGCUUGAUGUUGCGCUUGACAAUUAUGGUUUGUUGAUCUUCAAUUUCUUAAACAGGUGGGGCUAACAGGUGUGCUAGAAAUUGGAGCAGUUAAUUACACCCACAUAGACCAAAUAGAGGAGGAAGUUUUUGGCACAUUGGUGGCAGAUAAUUGUUAGCAUACAGACUAUGAUCUUGUAUGAGUGUUUCAAACAAUUUAUAAAUGCUGAAGAAAGGAAGAGAGUAAGAAAUCUAGAGAGAGAGAGUGAGAGAAUUCAGCUUGAGGAAGAAGAAACGAACUCUGCACUGUUUCAUUCAUUCACACACACUUAGCACAUGUAGCAAGAGGAAAUAUUAAUUAAUCUAAGAUUACAUCUUAGCUGCACACUUGGACUAUGAUCCAAGGGCUGAUAUUUAAAACUGACUUCUUAUUAUAUUUCAGCAAAUACACUUAUAAACUAACACUCCCUUCUAAGUGAUGUGCUGAAAUCACUCCCAAAGCUGUCCUCAGUACUUCAAAUCGAUCCCUUGCCAAAGCUUUAGUGAAUAUAUCUGCAACCUGCUCUUCAGUCUUGCAGUAUACCAGAUCAAUCUCACCAUCUUGAAGUGCAUCUCGGAUGAAAUGAAAUUUCCGAUUAAUGUGCCUGGUUUUGUGAUGAUGAACUGGAUUCUUUGAUAUGGCAAUUGCUGAGGUAUUAUCACACACAACAACUUAGUUGGUUCUGCUUGUUCUUCCCCGAAAUCAGAGAGUACAAAUCUUAGCCAAAUGGCCUGUGCAGUAGCUUCUGCUGCACUGAUGUACUCUGCCUCUGCAGUUGAAAGAGCAACACUGCUUUGUUUGAUUGAGGCCCAAGAAAACACACCAGAACCAAGAUUGAAUGCAUAGCCAGAUGUACUCCUCAUAUCAUCUUCACUUCCACUCCAAUCACUAUCACAAUAACCAACCAACACUGCUCCUUUUCCCUUUUCAUAGACAACUCCAUAGGUCACAGUGCCUUGUAUGUAUCUCAGAACUCUCUUAGCUGUCCCCAUAUGCUUCUUGGUAGGAUUGUGCAUAAACCUAGCCAAUAAGCUUGCUGCAAACAUAAUAUCUGGCCUUGUUGUUGUCAAAUAUAGCAAACUUCCCACCAUUUGUCUAUAUAAAGUCUCAUCUGCCAGAUCACUUCCAUCUACUUUUGUAAGUUUUUCAUUCAUAGCUAAUGGUGUUGCAACCGGCUUACAAUCCCUAAGUCCAAAUUUCUCAAGCAAAGUCUUUGCAUAUUUCUUUUGAUGCAAGAAGAUGUAAUUAUCUGUUUGCAAUACUCCAAGACCAAGGAAAUGGUGAAGUAAUCCUAGAUCAGUCAUCUCAUAUUGUCUCAUCAUCUCACCUUUAAACUCAGCUAUCAUCUCCUUUGAACUCCCUGUGUAAAUAAUAUCAUCUACAUACAGUGACACAAUAAGAAUGCCACUGUGAGAUGUCUUGAUAUAAAGAGUAGCUUCACUCGGACUUCUGUGGAAUCCAGCCUUUGCAAAAUAGGAAUUUAUUUCUUCAUACCAAGCUCUUGGAGCUUGUUUCAAACCAUAUAAAGCUUUCCUGAGCCUGUACACUUUGUCUUCCUUGCCCUGUAUAACAAAACCAGAUGGUUGAUCCACAUACACCUCUUCAUUCAACACUCCAUUUAGAAAUGCAGACUUUACAUCUAACUGAAAUAAUUUCCAUCCUUUCUUGUGCAGCAAGGGCCACCAAGGUUCUCACAGUAUCAAGUCUUGCCACAGGUGCAAAAGUUUCAUUGAAAUCGAUUCCAGGCUUCUGAGAGUACCCCUUUGCAACCAACCGUGCUUUGUUUUUCUGCACUGAACCAUCCAGAUUUAGUUUUGUUUUAUAAACCCAUUUGACUCCAAUGAUUGGUUUAUCAAAUGGUCUAUCAACAAGAUCCCAAGUAUGAUUCUUCUCAAUCAUAGAGAUUUCAUCUUCCAUAGCCUUCUGCCAUGAUUCAUCCUUGGCAGCCUCUUCAAAACAUUCGGGUUCUAUUAUGCACAGAUUACACUUUUCAUAUAUUUCUGCAAUGUUUCUGUACUUGAGAGGAGUGUGAUCAAAAUCCUGUGGACCUGUCACUCUUUCUUGAUCAGAUAGCUCAGUAACUAAAUCUGACCCAACAUUCUCUUCACUGACUUCACAUUGUGUUUCAGAAUCACAAGCACUUCCUUCACAGUUUUGUUCUCCUGCAGACAUUUCAAUGAUCUGGAUACUCUCCCUUCUUUCCUUCUGUGCAUUCCAAUCCCAACAUGCUUCUUCAUUAAACACAACAUCUCUGGAAAUAGUCACCUUUCCAGAUUCAAUGUUAUACAGUCUAUAUCCCUUCUCACAACUACCAUAUCCCAAGAAAAUACACCUCUUGCUUGCCAAAUCGAGUUUUUGUCUCUGUUGACUUGGCACAUGAGCAUAACACAAAGAACCAAACACUUUUAGAUGCUUAAUUCCUGGUUUUUUCUCCCACUGUAAGCUUCAAAAGGUGUCUUCUUAUGUAAGGCUUUGGUUGGGCAUCGAUUCAGAAUGUACACAGAGGUAUUGACUGCCUCAGCCCAGAAUUCAAGUGGAACCUUAUUCUCCAACAUAAGACACUUAGCCAUUUCCACGAUGGUUCUGUUCUUUCUCUCUGCCACACCAUUUUGCUGUGGUGUGUAUGGAGUGGUAAGUUGUCUUUCCAGGCCUACAUCUUCAACAAAUCUGUUAAAUUCCAUUGAAGUGUAUUCACCUCCUCGAUCACUCCUAAGCUUCUUCAGUUUAUAUCCACUCUGCAACUCUAUAGUAGCUUUGAACCUUUUAAACACAUUGAGAACUUCAUAUUUAUGCCUUAGAAAAUAAAUCCAACACAUCCUGGUGCAGUCAUCUAUAAAAGUGAGAAAGUAUCGAUUUCCAGCUGUUGUAGUUGUCUGCAUUGGUCCGCAAAUGUCACUGUGUAUAAGCUCAAGAGGAAAUGAUGCUCUAGUAGUGGCUUCUCUUGGAAAUGCUUCUCUGCAUUGUUUGCCAAGAACACAGCCUUCACACACUCCUUUAAUUACUUUGAUCUCCGGUAACCCGACCACCAAUUAUUGUUCCUGCAUCAAUUUCAAACUGCUCAUGUUCAGAUGACCCAAUCUUCUGUGCCACAUAGCAGUAGAAGGACAUACAUUUGCCCUGUAGGCAAUAUGUAUUCCAGACUGUAACUUCAUUGGAAAACUUCGAUUUCCCUUCAUUGGUACUCUGGCAAUCAAGUUGGAAUAUGAGCUAUCAUCAUAGAUCUCUACUUUAUGACCUCCAAACACCAAGUAAUAACCGUGCUCCAUCAUUUGACCUACACUGAGCAAAUUUUCUUUCAAUCCAGGCACAAGCAUAACCUCCUUGAUAUAUCUCUUGCCUAUUUUAGUUUCAACCAUAAGACUUCCUUUACCAGUUACAUCAACAAGCUGUCCAGUACCCAUUUCAACCUUUGCAGUCACAUAUUUGUCAAUAUCAACCAAUAGAUCCUCCCUUCCAGUCAUAUGAUUACUACACCCACUAUCUACAUACCAUACAUCUUCACAUCCUUUUACACUAGUAUUAGUUUGAUUACUAGCAUAAAACAUGAUUGGUGUAGAGUCUGCCUGAGUGGCAUAAUUAAGCUGUUGCACUGCCUUCUUGCUAUUACAGUCCCUUGCUAGAUGACCAAACUUAUCACAGUUGUAACAUUUUGGUUUGCCUUUGAAUCGACACUCACCAAAAUGUAGCUUGCCACAAUGCUUACAAGAAUUUCUAGCCCCAUCUGUGGGUUUGUUAUCCCACUUCUUGCCUUUGUCCUUCCAAUUCUUAUGGUACUUGGCAUUUUGAUUUCCAGUAAACUUAACUGGUUUGGGAUUCACACUAAGGCUAGCAAAUGCUCUCUCAGUUUUUAUUUUCAGAAUGCCUAUCAAUCCUUAACUCAAAACUCUUCAAAGAAGCCACCACCUCUUGUACCUCAAUCACAUCCAAAUCUUUCGAAUGCUCAAUAACAGAACAGAUAGAAUCAUAAGCUGAUGGCAAACUAAUUAAUAAUUUCUGAACAACUCUCUCUCGAGAUAAUUCCUCUCCAUAGCUCCGCAUUUGAUUUAUCAGAUCAAAUAGUUUUUGUAAGAUAAACAGAAAGUGAUUCAUCAUCUCGCAUUCGGGUAUAUUCAAAUUCCCUACGAAGACCUUGCAAUUUAACACUUCUAACCUGUUUAUCACCAUGGUAUUCUUGCUGCAGAAUGUCCCAUGCGCCUUUUGAAGUUUCUUCAUGAGAGAUUCUGGGAAAUAUCUCAUCUAAAACAGCGCCCUGAAUCAGACCCAGAGCUUUAGCAUCCUUCAUGAGCACCUCAACAAGCGUCAUCCUCCCAGCACCACUAGACUCUUCUUUGUCUUUCUUCUUCUUCGCCUCAGAUUCAUCAAUCUUCUUCAGAUCUGAUUCAUCGAAACCCUUUUCAACCAGAUUCCACAAUCCGUAGGACUUGAAAAUGGUCUUCAUCUUAAUACUCCAAAACUCAUAAUUUUCACCAUUGAAAAUUGGUGCUCUCACCUCACCACUACCCGAUCCUGCCCAUGUUAGACUCAGAUCGCAAUCAACUCGAUCGCAGCUUUGAGUUGCUGGGUAGCUCUCUUCACAGAUCCAAACGCCCAGUAUCAAUUGAUCGAACACAGCUCUGAGGCCAUGUUAGCAUACAGACUAUGAUCUUGUAUGAGUGUUUCAAACAAUUUAUAAAUGCUGAAGAAAGGAAGAGAGUAAGAAAUCUAGAGAGAGAGAGUGAGAGAAUUCAGCUUGAGGAAGAAGAAACGAACUCUGCACUGUUUCAUUCAUUCACACACACUUAGCACAUGUAGCAAGAGGAAAUAUUAAUUAAUCUAAGAUUACAUCUUAGCUGCACACUUGGACUAUGAUCCAAGGGCUGAUAUUUAAAACUGACUUCUUAUUAUAUUUCAGCAAAUACACUUAUAAACUAACAAUAAUAGCAUUGCUGUGAACCAUGAUCAUUUCUUGACAUACCAUCUUGACCUUGAUGUCGAUGGUGAAACCAACUCCUUUGUCAAGAAUAAUUUUGUGACGAAACAAGCAACAGGCCACAACACACCCAGGAAGAGUUAUUGGAAUAUUGUAAGCGAGACGGCUAAAACUGAGUUAGAUGCAAGAAUUCGCCUUGGUUUGAAGCCAGCUGACCUGGUUGUGGUAAACCCUAAUAAGAAGACCAAACCCGGGAACCCAUUUGGCUAUCGUUUGAUCCCGGGGGCAGUCGCAGGAACCCUAUUGUUAGAGGAUGAUUACCCGCAAAUACGCGGCGCUUUCACUAAGUACAAUGUGUGGGUUACACCAUACAACAAGUCCGAAAAAUGGGCAGGAGGAAGAUAUGUUGAUAAAAGUAGAGGAGAGGACACAUUAGAUGUGUGGAGCAACAGGUAUUAAUUAAACUGUGAUUAAAUUUGGUUAAUGCAGCAAAAGAUUUUACAAAACGUUUGUGAUUUCUCUUGUUCAUUUUGGUUGACUGGUGUGAAUUGUGAUUGUUUUAUGUGUGCAGGAAUAGGAAAAUUGAGAACAAAGAUAUAGUGUUGUGGUACACAAUUGGGUUUCACCACAAUCCUUGCCAAGAGGAUUUUCCAAUGAUGCCAACAUUGAGUGGUGGAUUUGAGCUCAGGCCAACCAAUUUCUUUGAGAGCAGUCCUGUUCUUAAAGUUAGAACCAUACCUUCUAAGCACCACUCGCCCAAUUGCACCGCCAAAAACUAGCUGGGGACUUUUUAUUUAUCAUGAGUGAUUAAUAAUCCUAAGAGCUUAAUAAGUGAUAUUUUCAUCUCAUUGCAGUUGUAAUUUAUUGCAAGUUUUAGUUACAAAUUACAUAUCUAGUCCCAUUCCAACCCAUGUCACCAUGAACAAACGAUAGUUAUUACUUAGGAAAUCAACAUCUUGGUGGGGUUCGUAGUCUAUAAGGUUAAGAGAAUUUAUAAUACUCCCAGACAUGGCUAGUUAGCAAACUGAGAUCUUGGUUGUUAAAAAAACUUAAAAAGAAUCACUCUACUAAGUACUGGUUUGGUAUUGAAGUGUUUUUUAUAAAAAGUGGGUAUAAAAAAAAAAGCUGACCUCAAAAAGAUGUUUGGUAAACACUUAAAAACAACUUAUUUUCAUAGUUUUGGGUGAAAAAAAUCUGAAAACGUGAAAUUGCAUAAAUGAGCUUAUUUUCACAAUACAGCAGGAGCAGUUUUCAAAGCACAGCAAUACCAAACCAGCCUUAACUAAGCCCUUUGUGAUCAUGUGACUGAUCACCCUCAAUAGAAGCAUUGAAAUUUUACAGCUCACUUGGUAAUAUCUUCUCCCUACCAUCCAAUUGAAAAGGGUAGGCAUGAAACUUCAGAUAAAUUCAAUCCCCUGACUGAAAUUGAGUUGAAUUUGGGGUGACUGAGAGGAAGCUUACUAGUUAGGAAAAGCUCGGUAAAGGUGAGAGGAGGGUGUCCUGGACCUGUGUGGACGUGAUCGGAUAUGAUAGAGCCGGCGGCCAAGUCUACGACGAACUCGUCGGUUUUCCUGACUUCAAUGGGACAACUGAAUCUUCCUGGACUUUAAUUUUGCAGGUCCUUGCAUUUCACUAGUCCUUCGCCUUGCCCUCAUAUUUAAUUGCAGCUGCUUUGCCUUGCUUCUGAGUCUUUGUUUAUUAAAGUGAGGAGGCACAAUGAAUCGUCAUUUUACACAUUUGUCUUUGCAACUGUUUUCUCUUAAAUAAGUUACAUGUUACAAGUUUAAUAAUAAGUGUCUCGAUGCCUAUAAAGAUUUAACAAUAAUAGACGAUUAUAUUUAAAUUACUUAAACCACGAGGAAGGAAAAAUUAUGCAGAGAUAAACGUUCUUAAUUAGCACUUGAACAAGAAGUCCUUUGUGAAUGCAAAUUUCUUCCUCCUUGUUUUUAGACAAAAUUGCACCUACAAAACAAAUAACACAUUUGGUCAAGGCCAAGAGCGCCUACGAUAAUUUUUUUUUUGGGCGGGGGGGGGCUUUGGCCGAAGAACCUCCGAUGCCAAAGUUAGAAUUUGAGAGAAAAAGUGUUUGGAGAAUUUAGAGAAUUUGCAAGAGGGUUGGCAUCCAGUUUUGGAGAAAAUGAGGUGGUUUAUAUAGGGGUGUGGCCAGCCCCUUUGGGAGGAGAUGGACCGGCCAUUUGGAUGGUGUUUUGGAUGAGAUUCAUGAUUUGUUAGCUAAUUAAUAGAUUAAUUGGGUAAUUAAUCAAUUAAUUAGCUAAUUAAUAUAAUUUAGAAGGAAUGAUUUGGGGGUUACCUUGUGGAGAAGAUUUGAUGAGGACGAAUGAAAUAGGUUUUGAAUAAAUACCUAUUUUGGGCACUUUUGACUUGAUUGAGGGAUGAUUGCCCACUGCUUGGGCGUACAAAUCUCGAUGUGCCUCGAGGGUAAUCUUGUCUUUUUAACCCAAAAAUCCAUGUGUCGCCUCCAUAUUUUUCUUGAUUAUUUUUUGCUCCACACCAUUUACAUACUCAUGUUCGGUAUUGUAACUAGAAUCACACACGUUUUUUCUCCUCUUACGCACCCCUCCUUAUUUCUAGUCAUUUGAUUGAAUAAACCAAAUGGCAACAACUGACUUAGAGUGUGUGCGAGGAGAAAAAGAGUGUGAUUAUCAUUUCUCGUAAUUAAAUUUCAACGUGCUUCUAAUAAAAAUGCUAUUAGGAUAAGUGCUUACGAACAAAAGUGCUUCUUACAAGACGUUAGUCCAGCACUGGGAAAUUUCUUUCACAAGGCAAACCCUUGAAAGAAAUUUCUUAUAGAAUUUCUAGCCUAGAAUACCAAAUGAACUAUACAUGGCUGUCUUCAACGGCUUAAUUAACAAUUUCUUAGCCUUCCAUUCUCAGCCUCUCCCAAUAUUUUUUCUUUUUUGGUAUUUUUCUUGCAUUAAGAGCAAGGAAAAUUAAUUGAGUUUACUCAAUAAUUAAGAAAUUGUAUGAUUAUCAGUACAGCAUGACAUGCAGUCAUUAUUACAAAUUUAUGGAAUUUUGUUCAAAGUGGUACCUCCUACAUUAGGAAAUGUACAAGGAGUAUAAACAGAGUGAAACACUUGGAUGUUCAUUUUCCUUCAAGCAGAGUUUCUUCCUGUGACAAUGCUGAAGCUGGAUGAGCAAUUUGAACCCCUCACAUAUUGGGGUGGCUUGUUUUUUGACACUGGAUUGCUUUCGAAGAAAUUGCUCUGUCGGAGCUCAAACUGGCCGCUGAUCGUUGGCAUUAUGGGAAAAUCUUCUUGGAAUGGCACAUGAUGAAAACUCAUGGUGUACCAUAACACAAUGUCUUUAUUUUCAACGUCCCUAUCCCUGAAACAAUGAAAUUAAUCAAAACAUCAUGGUAAAUUUCACUACUGAACCUAUAAUAAUUAAAUAAAUUAGGGUAAACGGCUAAUUAGUAGCUACCUACUGCUCCAUGUAGCCAAGGUAUCAUCCCCCCUGCUUUGAUCAGCAUAUAGUCCCCCUGCCCAUUUUUCAGACUUAUUAUAUUGUGUAACCCACACAUUGUACUUAGUGAAGCCUCCUCAGAUUUGUGUAUAAUCCUCGUCGGAUAGAAGUGAACCUGCUACUGAUCCCGGAAUCAGACGAUAUCCGACAUGAUUACCCACUUUAGUCCUCUUGUUGGGGUUCACAACCACCAGAUCAGCAGCAAAGGAACCAAGCUUGAUCUUUGCAUCAGACUCCGUUUUAGCCGUAUCACCGACUACCUUCCAGUAACCCUUCGUGGGUGACUUUGGGUCACUCGCUCUGGUUGUUUGCAACUUGACAAAGGAGUUUACUUCACCAUCAACAUCAAGAUCUAGGUGAUAGGUAAGAAAGUGAUCAUGGUUGACAGCCACUAUAUUUUAUGUUACAAGAGUACCGUACACUUCCUCCUCUAUUUGUUCUGUGUGAGUGUACUCUGUUCGCUUCACUUCCAAACAACCAGUUAGCCCAACCUGCAAGAAGGAUGAAAUUUUAGGUGUAACCAGUUGUUUUACAGAUUGUAACUAUUUGUUGGUGUAUCUAGUCACAGGAUGAGACAUGAAACGGAGUAAAAAAUUUCCAAGUGAGGGGCCACUUUGAAAAAUAAAAUAUGGUUUCGCAAAGAAUAAUGGUAGCAUAUCCAAAAUUUUCUUAUACUAGCGAUCACAUUAACAGCAGAAGUACACUUUUUAAUAGAAAUGCUAUCUUUUCAUUUCAUCAUCUCAUAAAAUUACACAAUGGUAUACAUAUAUAUACUAGUAAUUCACUAGUCUUAGCCAACUAACUAAUUACAGUUUUACCCAACCAAUCAUUCACUAAUUACAAACUAAUAUAACCACCUUAUAACAAACUCUAACCAACUUAGCUAUUGACAGUUUUAUCCUAUUAUCCCCCCUCAAACCUAACUGAGGUAACCGAAGGGAGAGUUUGUUCCGAAUGAAGAUGAAUCUGGGCUUGGACAGAGCUUUAGUACAGAUGUCUACAAUUUGAUCCUCAGUGCAGACAAAGAGAACUUUCACUUGAUAUGCUAGCACUUUUUCCCGGAUAUAGUGAUAAUCAAUCUCCACAUGUUUGGUUCUUGCAUGAAAGAUGAGAUUUUUAGCCAAAGAAAUUGCAGAAAUGUUAUCACACCAAAGCUACAGGGAAGAAGAAAAAGCUAGACCAACAUCAGUCAACAACUUGCAAAUCCAUGUGAGUUCUGCUACAAUGUUUGCAAGGGACCUAUAUUUAGCCUCAGUGGAGGAUCUAGCCACAGUAGGUUGUUUCUUUGCACUCCAUCUGAUAAGAGAGUCUCCCAAAAAGAUAGAAAAUCCACCAGUGGAUCUUCUAUCAAUGCUACAUCCUGCCCAAUCUGCAUCCGAGAAGGCAGUGAGGUUGAGAGACUUUGAACACUUAGGAAACCAUAGACCAAGAGAUAAUGAGCCCUUGAGAUAUUGAAGAAUGUGUUUGACUACUUGGAAAUGUGCUUGCCUAGGUUUGUGCAUGAAUUGAUAGACCAAAUUCACAGCAUAAGAUAAGUUUGGCCUGGUCCAUGUUAAAUAUUGCAAUCAACCAACCAAAGACCUAUAUUCUUCAGGGUUAUCAAGCAGAGAAGAUUCAUGAUCCAAUUUUGUUGUGCUAAGGGGUGUAACACAAGGCUUGGAACCCUCCAUAUGAGCUUUAGUGAGUAUGUCUAAGAUAUAUUUGUUCUGAGAAAGCAAUAUGCCAGAGGAUGAUCUUUUGGAUUCAAUACCAAGAAAGUAAUGAAGAGGACCAAGAUCUUUGAUAGGGAAUAAGACACUGAGUUGGGAAAUGAUGUCUUGACAAAGUUGAGAAUUUGGACCAGUGACAAUAAUGUCAUCAACAUAAACCAAAAUGAAGACCAGAGUUGGAUCCCUUUUUACAAACCGAGAAUAGUCAUUCUGAGAACUUGAGAAACCUAGAGACUUUAAUGCAUUUGUUAAUUUCUCAUACUAAGGCCUGGGGGCUUGCUUCAAACCAUAUAGAGACUUAUGCAGAUGACAUACAUGAGUUGGCUUUGUAGGAUCUUCAAAUCCUGGUGGUUGUAUCAUAAACAUAUAUUUUGUGAAAUUAUCAUGCAAGAAAGCAUUGCUGAUAUUAAGUUGAUUUAGAAACCAAUCAAACUUGGCAGCCAAAGUGAGAAGAAGCCUAAUAAUAACAGGCUUAGCAACUGGACAAAAUACCUCAGUAUAGCCCAAACCUUGUUGCUGAUGAAAUCCUUUGGCAACAAGCCUUGCUUUGUACCUAUCAAUGGUACCAUCAGGUUUUCGUUUAAUUCUUGUUUGUACCAUACUUAGGGCCUCCGUAUUUAGAUCUCGUAUAAAUACUCGGGGGACUUAAAUGUAAUUAUGUAAUAAAGGAAUGGGCAAAUAUGUAAUAAAGGAAUGGGCAAAUAUGUAAUAAGUGAGGAGCCAUUAUUCUAUAAAAUGGACUCCUCACCCUCACAAUUGGAAAAGGCCAAUUCUUAGGCCAUAUCCUCACUCUCUCAGAGCUCUCAUCCUCACAGAGAAGCUCUCUCUCUCACUAUUCAACAUCUUAGAGAAAUACAAUAAUCAGUGUGGACGUAGCCCAAACAUUGGGGUGAACCACAAUACAUCUUGUGUUAUUUACUUUCUUGCAUAUUCACAGUCGGAUUUACAUUGUUCCAAGACCCCUCUGAUUUUGUGCAUCAACAUUUGGCGCCGUCUGUGGGAAUCGACACGAAAAGUUAUGUCGGUUCUCUCUCAAAUUUUCACCUCCGCCGUGAAUCUGCAGAAACCCAAUAACCAAACACAUGUAGAGUCACUGCAAAACCCAUCUCUCAAAUAUGCAGAAAUGAAAACUCCUAAACUCAACCACAGUUUCUUCUCUCUCCUCUCAAUGUCUUGUUCUCUCUCUCUCUCUCUCUCUCUCUUUCCACUUCUGUUUGGCUUCUGUGGUGGCAUUCUGAGAUCUGGUGGUGGGAUCCGACGAUCAGAGGGAAAAAUGGCAGACCCGAAACCCGACACACCCUUGAUCCCACCAUCGUCGUCAUCACCAUCCUCGUCAAGAAACCUCCCCAACUUCAAAAAUUCAGUUAAACUAAAACAUGUGAAGCUUGGGUACCAUAUUCUCAUCACCCAUGGAAUGUACCUCUUUCUUUCCCCUCUUGCUGUUGUUAUUGUUGCCCAGAUUUCAACAUUUUCUCUCAAGGAUCUUUAUGAUCUUUGGGAGCAUCCCCAGUACAACCUGAUUUCAGUGAUUAUCUGCUCG
rnacentral:lncRNA from 1 species